AAGCAUUAAAACAAAAGUGCCCCCUGUCAUCACUGGUAGAAUUAUCUGUAAGAAAGUUUUAUGGCAUGGAAAAAGACAUCCUCAGUGGCAGUUUCCACCUAUCCUCAUUGAAAAUAUUAUCUCUAGGGAACUUCCCUAGCAUGGCAGGAGGAAUCCUCGAUAAGAUUUUCCAUCUAUCUUCAUUGGUAAAAUUAUCUCUUACUAAAUGCAAGCCAACGGAAGAAGGAAUCCCCAGUGAUAUUCGGAACCUAUCUCCACUGCAACAAUUAUCUCUACAUGACUGCAAUCUAAUGGAAGGAAAGAUCCUCAAUCAUAUUUGCCAUCUAACAUCCUUGGAAGAAUUACAUCUGGGUUGGAACCAUUUUAGUAGCAUUCCUGCUGGCAUCAGUCGACUUUCCAAUCUAAAAGCCCUUGACUUGAGUCACUGCAAGAACCUUCAACAAAUUCCAGAGCUUCCAUCAAGUCUACGAUUUUUAGAUGCGCACUGUUCGGAUCGUAUUUCAUCAAGCCCCUCGCUUCUACCUAUUCAUUCUAUGGUCAAUUGCUUCAAAUCAGAAAUUGAGGUAUGAUUCUCAUGCCACGUUCCUUUUUCUUUCGUACCCAUUGGAUUUACAUGGUGCUUUUGUGCAGGACUGCGUGGUUAUUCAUCGUUAUUCUUCCUUCUGGGGCAAUGGAAUUGGUAUUGUUAUUCCUAGAAGUAGUGGAAUUCUAGAGUGGAUAACGUAUCGGAAUAUGGGAGGGCAUAAAGUAACAAUAGAGCUCCCUCCGAAUUGGUAUGAAAAUGAUGACUUGUGGGGAUUUGCUUUAUGCUGUGUUUAUGUUGCACCUGCCUGUGAAUCUGAGGAUGAAUCUCAGUAUGAAUCAGGUCUUAUAUCUGAGGAUGACAGUGACCUUGAAGAUGAAGAAGCAAGCUUUUAUUGUGAAUUGACAAUCGAAGGAAAUAAUCAAUCAGAAGACGUGGCUGGUUUCGUUCUUGAUUUUCGCUGUGUUAAGGAUGAUGUAUCAGAUAUGCAGUGGGUGAUAUGUUAUCCCAAGUUAGCUAUUGAGAAAAGUUAUCACACCAAUCAAUGGACACACUUCAAGGCUUCAUUUGGUGGGGCCCAAGUGGCAGAGUGCGGAAUCCGUCUGGUAUACACAAAAGAUUAUGAACAGAAACAUCCAACAAUGGCACAAGGCAGUACUUCUCAUGGGAAUUUUGGUGAGCAUGGAUCAGUAAGAGAAGAUGGCAGUACUUCUCAUGGGAAGUUUGGUGACCAUAGAUUAGUAAGAGAAGCUUUACUACUCUAAAGAUACUAAUAGUAAAGAUCACAAUAAAAGGAAUCCCACAGAACAGAGCCCAGGAGAGGAGUCACGUACACCAUAAAAGAUUCAGAGAAACCCAAGACUGAUCCCAAGCAUUAGGCUCAACCACACUUGCAUCAAUAAUGUUCUCUUCCUGGUAAUUCAUCUUCUUUUCUCUUUCAAAUUCAAAGGUCAGAAAUUUUUUUAUCAUGUUUCUCCUUUUUAUUUGUUUUUUCCCCAAGACAAACAAAAAUUUGUGGCUAUCAUCCAUGGGUGCAAACUUCAAUGGUACACCUCCCAAGUUUGUUUUUCUCUCUCUCCAACCGUCUCUCCCUAGAUUUUUCUGCAUUUUCUUCAAACUCAUAUUUCUAUAUGAAAUUCAAUUACAUUCGAGCAUUUCAAUCUCUGUAGCUAAUGUCUGAAUCAUUUCUAGGGUUUCUUUUUUCUGGAAGUUUGUAAUGUUAUUGAUUUAUGACUUGAUGUUUGGGGAUGUUUUGGGUGGCUUGUUCACUUUUUUAUAGCGAUGAUUUAUGGAACCAGAGUUUCUUAGCAGGAAAUGGAACUCGUGUGUUUUAGAAUAUUGGCGUUAUUUGCUUGUGCCCUGUUUGGUUGCUGAGAAAGAGUGGAAGGAGGAUGGAGAAUUAAAUAAUUUUCAAUCUAAGCAAUGAGAAAUUAGAUUUGGGUAUUUGGGCCAUUGGAGUUAUUUGCUCUUACUCAGUUUGGUUUCCAGGAAACUGCAGGCAAAGCAUGGAAAAUAAAGUAUUUUUAAAUUAAUUACCAGGAAAUGGAAUGUACGUAUUUGUCUCUUUGGAAUAUAAACAUCAGUAUUCACUCUUCAAGAAUGUAUAUGGUUGUUGUUUUGGAAUUUUGAAAUUACUUAGCAUCAGACAAUUUCUAACUUGGGAUUUGGAUUGGGAAUCAUAAGUAAUCAUUAGAGAGUAUAUGAGAAGGAGUUUUAGAGUAAGACAGGGUGAUGCAUGUUGAGGGAUGCGUCUCACCCUGGAGUUCUUUGGAAUAAUUAUAGGAUUUUGUAAGUAACUUUGGACUUAUUAGCAAUGUUCUGGAUUUGUGAAUAAUUUAUAGAAUACAUUGGGUGUUUUUUUUUUUUUUUUUUUUUGAGAGUGAAUAAUGUAUGACUGUACUCUUCUCUAUCUCUGUGGUAUGGCACACGUAUGAUUUGGUGCUUUUUUGCAGGCCUUCAACAGCAGCAAAGCAUCUGGUGGCUUGCAGUACUAAUCUUGCAUUAUAUUCUCUGUUUUGCAAUCAUUUGGUACUGUUUGUCCCAACCAAGGAUAGCUCUGUGCAAGCAGUCUCGACUGUGGAACAAGUAAAACAAAUGGUACCUGCUGAAGCUGAGAGGGCAGAUGAUAAGCUGGUGCGGAAGGUGGUCAACCAAAAGAAUCAGACAGCAAAAACUAAAAAGCCCAUCAAGCCUGCUACUGAAGCAGCCUCAGCACCUGUUUCUGGGAGGGGUGAGAUUGAAGUGACUGAAGAAAAGGAGCAUGAGCAAACAAAGAAGGAAGAGGAGUUGGCCAGGAAGGUAGAGGAAUUGAGAAGUGAAGAAGAAGCAGCCAUGUUGAAGGAGAGAAAGCCAACGUUAAGGAGGCACUGGAAAGGAAACAAGGAACUGCAGAAAAGGCCAAUUUCUCUGUGAGUGCUGCCACCUUUUCAUAAUAAUGGAUGUUAAAAGCAGUCUAACUCUACAUGGCGUUUAUUUUCCCCAGCCAUGGAUUGGAAUCUGCCAGUCUAACUCUCAUAAGAAACAAAAUUUUCCAUCCUCAUAUGGAUUAUUGGAGAAGAUUUUAACAUGGAGUUCACUAGAGAGUUUCUAACACCCACUCAAAAAGGACAUUUUAGAGAACUUAUUGAAAAGUUACAUCAGAGUACAUAAAUUUUUAGAUAUUUUUAAAAAUAUCUGAAAAAUUAAAUUAACUAAAAGUAUUUGAAAAAUAUUUGAUUGAAUUAAUAAAUAACUAGUAUUUGCAUAUGAAAAAAUAGUAAACAUAGUCAAUAAUUUUUUUUUUAAUAAUUAGCACAUAAUAAUCAUAAAUUAAUUUAUGGCAAGACCUCAUAUUUGUUGUGGUGACUGUGUUGUCUUACCAUUCUUCUUUCAUGAUGGGCUUAAAUUUUAAUUUAAAUGUAGUAUAAAUAUAUAAUUAGAUUGAUAUUUCGUCCACUAGAAUUGAUUGGGUCUGAAUUUGAACCCUGGUCUUGAAUUUCUUGGCCCAACCAACGAAAUCAUUGACCAACGGCCCUUAGUUUGGGCUGGGCUUGAUGGUCCUCAGGUUAUGCAGGCUUAAUACUGAUUGGGUUUGGGCUUCCAUGCAGUUGUACUUGGAUUCUAUGUUUCCUAAUAUUAACACUAAAAUUAGGUUUAAUUUAUUAACACUAAAUUAGGUUUCAUUUAUAAUUAAAUAUAAUUAGUUUGAGAAUAACUCCAAUCUUUAGUUAAACCAACUAAGUUUUAUGCAAAGGUUUAUAUUCCUAAUACCAUUGAAAAACUAAAUUUAUGUGGAAGUUUGACUGAUACCAACAUUAAAUUAUUAAGAUAAAUUGAAAAAAAAAAAAUCAUGCUCGUAUGUCCUGUUGUUUGUCAUAAGAAAAUUUCUUUUCAGAUUUUUUUUUUCUUUUAAUACAUCUUUACAUUUUUAAUAACAAUCCAUAGGAUUGUUCCCAAACAUAUAUCAUAUAAAUAUAUCUUUUUUGGAUUUUUAAGAAUGUUGUCAAACAAACUCAUAAUACCAUUCUUUCUUUACAAUUACCAAUCCAUAUGAUGAAUUUAUUCCUUUCAAUAACUGACAUCAUCUAAUAAAAAUUAUAAUUAGGUAUUAUAUUUAAAAAGUGUUUAAUAAAUCAAUUUAAUAACUUAAGUGAUUUAAUAACUUAAUUUAAAUUAUUAAAAUAAUUUGAUGUCACAAUUUAAAGUUAAAAUUGAUUUAAUUAAUUUUUAUUUAAAUUUAAAACUAUGUUUACAAAAAAGGCUUAAAAUUCAUAUCAAUUAAGAAAUUAAGUUAUUAAGUUACUUUAAGUCAUUAAAUUAAUCUACCAAUUAAACACCCUUUAAGAUAUGAUAUAAAGUUCACCUCCUACAUAUCAUGAAAAUUAAAAAUUAAUUACCACAUCAAGAAUCUUUAGUUCCUAAUCGAUUUAAUAUUUAAUCCUUGGUUGUGAAUUUCUUUAUAUAUGUAGAUAUAUUUUUAUAUUGCAAGUGGGCUGCCGACUUUUCAUUUUAUACUAGUUUUGAAAAUAAGAUUGUAGUUUUUAUUUUGUCCAAAUCUAAUUUGGAGGGAGAAUCUUUAGAGGCUAUUUUAUAUUCAAAUAGGAAAAUUUUAAAUUUAAUAGUCCCACCUUAUAAAGGCAAAUAUCUUGGACCCUACAUGGGUGCCUCUUACAUGCAUGCACGAGGACAAAGACUUAUUGAAAGCCUCUCUCAUUCACAUGGAUGCCAUCAUUCAUCGAAGUUGAAACAUGAAACCCACACAAAAUAUUUGGGCAAAAGCAACUUCAAUAUUUUUUUUCAUUACUAUAGCUGAGAAUCUCAAUAUUAUUAAAUAGUAAUAAAAUUAAUUUUAAUAUUUUUUUUCUUAUUUUUUCCUCCUUGUGGUUAUAUUUUCAUCCGGAAAGUAUUAAAUAUUAAAAAAGAAUAAAAUUUAAAAAUUAAUUUUUCAUAUUUAAUUAUAUUGUGAAAAAUAUAAAAUAAAAUAUAAUAUAAUUAAAAUUAGUUAAAAUUUUAUAUUUUUAUAAAAUUAUUUAACUUUUUUAUAAAAAUUUAAAAUAAGUGACAUGAGUUUGAAAUAGUAUACAUAUUGACUUUAAAUUUAAUUUUUAUAUUUUUCAUUUUUCUUUUUAACUAUUCUUCUUUCUUCUCUUUCUCUCAACUUUUCCUUCAAAUUUUCCAAUAACCAAACAUAACCUAUUUGUUUCAUAAAAACUCUUUUACCUUUUUAAAUUUUUAAAAGAGUUGCUUACAUAAUAUGGAGCUAAUAGUAUUACUUGUACCUAUUAAUUUCUUUUAAGAUUAAAUUGUUCUAACUUUGUGUGAUAAAAAGUUUGUAAAGUCCAAUUUUACGAAAGAAAAUAUAUGAUUAGUGACUCCCUUGCAUUUCCUUUGGGAUUCACCCCUUCAUACUUACCGUAAAUAGUUGUACCAAUUAAUCAAACAAAAAACAUAGCAUGUAAAUAGUAAUAUGUUAAAGUUUUCUAUCGUGCCUAAGUUUAAUUAGUUCUACUUAUUUAUAUAUUGAAAUGAAAGUAAGCAUAUAUUUAAGUGGUCCAUCAAAUUUGAAACUAAUCUAUUGUAAUUACAUUCAUGUCUAUAUCAUUUAUAUUGUACAUAACUUGAGUACAUUAAAAAUUGUACAAAAAAUCCAAAUUACAAGGAAGUUUAUAUAAACUCUCUUAGGAUUAGACACUGUUAGUCAUUGCCUUCUAAAAAGCUUUCAUCUCUUUCUCCCUCAAGAGGUUUGUAGUCACUUUACACAAGUGUCAAAACUCAAAAGAGUGAUCUAAUGAAGAUGACGAGGUGAUUGAGAUCCUUUUCAUAAACUGGAGUUUGAUAUGGGAACAUUCAUAUCGAAGGUAAAAAUUUUUAUCAGCAACUAGACUUACUUUUAUCUUUCCUUAUAAUUAAACCCAAUAAUCCUAGGUUGUUAGAGACCACACACCUAUGAUCCAAGGGUUUUCCCAACAAGGAUAUCAAUAAAUCUUUCUACUCUAUUGAUGGCAUCUUGAAUUCUUUCAAAUUAAUCACUUCAUUGUAAUCGUUAUUCACUAAAUCCCAUAAAUCUUGAGAUCUAAACAUGACAUUCAUAUGAAUGCAUCAAUUAUUAUAAUUCUUACUUAUGAAUUUUGAAAGUUGAGAUUCAAUUGAGUUAUUAUUUACCAUCAUUACUUUAACAACCAAAUUGCAAAUUUCUUUAUACUAUUCACAUUCUCUGGCAGCCUUUGACCUUCCCUAAUCUUUAGCCUCUAGCUAAUACCACUUGUUUGAGCUCCCAUAAUUGGGCAGCAUUGACAAUAAUUUACUAAAAUAACAUUUUAUUCUAUCCUACUCUCUCUUUGUCAACAUAAUAAUAAACCUCUAUUUAAAAUAAGUUGAUCAUAUUUGCAUUAUCACUCUAAUUCAUAAUUAGAUUGGGAAACCUAAUUAAUAUCAAAUAAAUAACCAUUCCUAAUAUUUCUCAAAUUUAUAAAAUUCUUCUAAUUUGACUUUAAAUUGAUUUUUUAUUUUGACUAUAUAGCUUAAAAAGGAUAAUUUUUUAAAUAAUUAUCAAUUUCAUAUAAUCUUUAUAAGCAUUUGUGUUCAUAAAUUCCUUAUUAUGAUAUUAGGUUUUAGACAAUUUGACAAUAUGAUGAUGUUUUGGAAUGAAUGUUAAGUGAAUCCGUUUUACUCAAAACCAUUAAAUAAAAAAAAAAGACAGUUACACAAGUAAAAUAGUAGAUUAUUGAAGGCCAGGAGAAAAGAAGAGGAAAAUGAAAUAUUAUAUCCCUAUAAUGAGUUAGGUGGAUAUUUCAUGUGAAAAGUUUAAUGUGCAAGGUUGUUCAUGUCUAUUGAGUUUUGGGUAAUCAUUUUUUCAUGGAAAUUUUUUAUGGAAUCCUAAUCUUAGAAAGCAAUAGGAAAUUUUUUUACCAAGAUUUCUAAGAAAUAACUACAUCAAAGUGUAAGAAAAGUAUCAAACUAGAAUAUCUAAGAAAUUACUACAUCAAAGUGUAAUAGAAACAUCAAAUUAGAAAGUGAAAUAUAAUACAAUUCAACUAUGAAAAUGAAGGACAAAGGAAUAGACUAAUUGCCAAAGGAAAAUAGUCUUUUAGUUUUAAUCAGAAAUUUCUUAUAUCAUAAUUAUGACCUGUAGAGGCCACAUGGGUUGUUGGCCUUGGAGUGACUAAAAGGUACAACUAAAAAACGUCAAACAUUUGGAGAACUAAAAGAAAACAUGGAUAAAAUUUUUUUACCUAGAACAUUUAUAUAGAAAUAUUUUAUUUUUUAUUUUUAAAAAAUUAGUAAAGGUAGUAAAGUUUUUUAAAGAUUAUUUUGCGCCCUAAAAACAAAUCGUAAAGGCUUGUUAAAGAUUAUUUUGGAUAUGUUUCAUGCAUUAAUUUUUUUUAACAUUUCAAAUUUUUAAAUGAUUUUUAAAAGUUAUUACCUUUUAAAAUGUAAAUCUCAUAGAGUAUUUGCAUUAUAUAGGAAUUACUAUCAUUUUUAUUUUUUUUAAAAAAGAGAAAUGUAUUCAAAUAAUACCUUAAUUUUUCAUUUUCUAGUAUAAGGAAAUGAUUAUAUCUCACACAAACCUUGUUCAGAUACAUAUUUCAAAGUGAGAAAAAAAAAAUUCUUUUAGAGAAAAGAAGUCCUUCAAAAAGAAGAAAAAAAAAGGUUUUUCAAAGAAGAGUUAGAAGGAAAAGUGAAUUCAAUCUUAUAAUCAGCUAACAUGAUGUUGUUUGAUUACAUUUUUUAUUUUCUAUUUUUACAAAUAAAAUAUAAUAAUAACUCCUAUAUGAAAUAUAGAACUCUUUCAAACUUACUUUAAAAACAUAAUAAUAUUUAAAAAUUAAGAUAAAUUGUGAUAUUAAAAAAAAAAUUACUUCUUCAAAUUUUAAAAAUUAUGAAAAUAAAUUUUUAAUGACAUAAGAUAAGUCUAUAAAUUUUACAUAAAAGUUAUUAUAUUUUAUAUAGAAACUAUUACUAUUUUCUAUUUGUAAAAAUACAAAAUAAAAAAUAUAUCCAAGCAAGUACUAUGAGAAAUAGUUUCUAACAUUUCUUAUUAAGAAAAUGAGAAUAUUAAGAAGUAUAUUCCUACUACAUUGUUUUUUUUUUUAAUUUGAUAUCAACCCAUUCUAUUAGCUCUUUUGAGAAAUAUAGAAAAAUAACAUUACAUAAUUGCAUAGAACAAGAAUAUUAUUUAAGUUUGAGGCAAGUGUUAAAAAGAUAUUGUAAUUCUGUUACGUUGUUUAACUUCAAUGUCCUAUAUGUAACUGUUAGGAAUUUGAGGCUAAUCCAAACUAUAGUAAUCACCCUAGAGGGAGGGGGGGGGGGGGGGUAAAUAGGGUGAUGAUCUCUUUUUCACAAAUCUAAACUAUGCAAAAAUAAGAGACAAUUAUAUGUAAAUAUAUAAUAAACACAAUUACAUAUAAUUUAAAAAAUUUGGGAAAAAAAAGUGCAAAACCGAAAACUUAUAAUGGGUCGACACUUCCUUGGCCACCUUCCCUCUCCUUAAACCCCUAAACGAAUGAGGGUUCCCCUAUUUUGAAGCUUCCACCAAGCUUCCAAACCCUUUACAAAUGGAUUAAGGUUUCCAAUCCCCCUUUUGNNNNNNNNNNNNNNNNNNNNNNNNNNNNNNNNNNNNNNNNNNNNNNNNNNNNNNNNNNNNNNNNNNNNNNNNNNNNNNNNNNNNNNNNNNNNNNNNNNNNAGAGAGUGCAAACACGAGAGCUUAUAGUGGUUCGACACUUCCUUGCCUACGUCCACUCUCCUCAACCUCCUAACCGAGUGAGGGUUCCACUAUCUUGAAGCUUCAACCAAGCUUCCAAUCUCUUUACAAUUGGAUUAUGGUUCCAAUUCACCCUUUUGGACUUUUGGCUCCAAGCACCCUUUACACUUCUCAAAAGUUAUCCCACUCUUGAACAACCUCUCAAGUGAUACCCCUCACUUGAGAAAAUUCCUCUCAAAGAUAUACAAAGAUUGAUCUCACAAAAAUUGUAGUAAUAGAACUUUAAGCUCAAAUGAUACAAGAGAAACUAGGAUUGAAUGGUGCACUAAAGAUAUGCAAGUUUUGGAAUAAUGGUGCACUCAAAAAUACUCUUCCAAGGCUCAAAUAUAAUCAAGAAAGAUUUGGGAAGGUUUAGCUUAUCAAACAACGAAGUUUGGAGCCUUUUUAUAGAAGAAAAAAGUCAUACUAGCCGUUGGGGGUUUGAUCGGUCGAGCUAAGGGUCGACUGGUUGACUAACCAUUAGGAAAAGUGACUGUUGAGCCUCAACCGGACCUCAACCGGUUGAGGUUCAACCUUGACCGGGAAGAGAAGGCCACUAGGAGAGAGAGAAAGUUUUUGGCCUCCCUCAACCGGUCCUCGACCGGACGAGCACAACCAAUCGACCAGUUGAACCGGUUGAGCCAUUUUUUUGGCUCAACACUCAACAUUUUUCAACUUAAAACCUUUUAACACAAAUUUGAAAAUCAUUUAACACAAGGUUUUAGUUGAAAACAUUAAAUCAUCCAAUUCUUAAGAUAUUUAAAACAAUAUUACUCUUGGAUAAUUUUGGUGCAUAAAUAAAUAAUGAAAUGCAUGAAAGUCCUAGUGCACCAACAACCUUACAAAGAGAUCCUAAGAAGCUUUGGUCUUGAAAAACUCUUCUCUUUGAGGUGGUCUUCUUUUUCAUGAUUUCUCCUUGACUUGAUUUGUCUUUGGAUUGCCACUUUGGAAGUCGUCUUGCCUAAUCACACUUGAAAUAUGAUCAUUAGUUCUAAACCUUGUUUUGUUAUCAUCAAAAUCAAGAUUAACCAAACCUUGGUUUCACAGUAACGACUUGUUCCCAACCAUAUAGAUAUUGUCCGCUUUGGACCCAAAUGGGCCCUCACGGUUUUUAAAACUCGUCUACUUGGUUAAGAGGAACUUCUACAUAUAUAGCGUCAGACUUUCCCCCCUAUCCGAUGUGGGAUGUCACAAACACCCCCCUCCCCCCCUCCAUGUAGACACAACGUCCUCGUUGUGUCCCAUGGGAUUGUAGGGUUAAAUAGACAAACACCCCUUAUGAGGUCAAACAAACCCCAACACCGGGGUCGGGGAUCGACUCUGAUACCAUUUAUCAGAAUCCGUACUCAAUUAUAUAUAUAUUGUCCGCUUUGGACCCAAAAGGGCCCUCACGACUUUAAAACGCGUAUACUUGGUUAAGAGGAGUCUCUACACAUAUAGCACCAAGAACUUUUCCCCCUAUCCAAUAUGGGAUGUCACACUAUAUAUGUGUAACAAUUUUUCUUUAAAAAAAUUAGAGGACUUAAAAUGGGCUCUUGUCAACCUUAUUGAUAUUUGAUGUCAAAGGGAUACAACCAACCACCACAAAUAAUUGAGAGAAAAGAAAGGAAAUAAUAAUAAGAGGUAGGCCCCGGGCUCUUGUGAACCUUAUUGAUAUUUGAUACCAAAGGGAUACAACCAACUCCCACAUUUAAUUAAGAGAAAAGAUUGGGAUAUCCUCACCACCAUGUCUAGAUUGCUUUAGUAGGACCAAGAGAAGUCAUUCAGCAUCCAAAGAUCCUCUUCUUCUUCUUCUUCUUUUAAUUCUAAAUGGAGGGACAAUGUGUUCUUGAGUUUCAAAGGUGAAAAUACUCACAAAAGCUUUACUAAUCAUUUCUACUGUAUAUCUUUACUUGUAAUAAAUGUAUAAGAUAUUUGUAUUAACUGUAUAAAACAUGUACAGACCUGUAUAUCUUGAAUUUAUUAAUAUGUUUUUCUUCAUUUUCUUUGUUUUCCAUACCAAAAUACUAAAAAAAUUAUUUACAUAAUUUUUUCUUUUCACAUUUUCAUAUGUAUACAAGACACUUAUACUAAAUGUACAAGAUAUUUUCAUAUUUUGACUAAUGCCUAUACAAAUAUGCAAAUAUAUUGACAAUAGGCAAACUCAUACUAGUCUUGUAUAGUUAUGACAAAUGUCUUAUACAUUUAGGGUGUGUAUACAAUGUUUUCUAAUUCUUUGUAUAGUUAAUACAAAUGUCAUAUAUAUUUUUGAAAAUGUAAAAAAAAAAAAAAGAAGUUAUAUUUGACAUUUACACAUUAUAUAUAAACAAUAUUUCAAUUUAAUAUGGAAAAUGAAAAAAAUGCAAAUAGAUAUAUGUGAAGGGUAAAAAGAGUAUUUUUGUUCGUAAAAUUUCAUGUACUUAAACAUGAAGUAUGCAUCUUUUCACAGAUGUUGGCCAAAUUAUGAACCUCAAACACAAUUGUUUUAAAGAGAAAUGUGAAGAAAAAGAAUAUGAAUGGUAGUUGUAAGAAAAUUAAAAAAUAAAAUCAUUGACUCUUCACUCUACCAAACUAGGGAUGACAACGAGGCGAGUUUGGGAUGGGGCCUCGUUCCGUUUAACUUUUUUUUUUAAUUACUUAAAAUUUUUUUAAUUAUAUUAAAAUAAAUAUAUUUUAUAAAUAAUUAAAUUAUUAUAUUUUUAUAACUUAUUUUAUUAAAAAAUAUUUUUUUUAUUAUUUAUAUAUUAAAAAUAGUAAAAUUAAAAUUAAAAUUAAUUUAAUUUUAAAAAUUAAUUUUAUAUAUAAUAGGGGUGGAGCAAGAUAAGGCAAUAGCUGAAUCUGUCCUGGGUUUUAAAAAGAUUCCCAAACCUGUCCAAAACUCAUUUAGUUAAAAUUGAAACUCAUCCAAUUACGAGCGGGUAUCCGAAAAAACUUGUCCUAUUGUCAUCCCUAUACCCAACCACACUAUCAUCCAAUGAAUAAAACGAAAAUAACUAAAAUUAAGGAACAACCCAAGAAUCAAUGACUUCCUAGCAAGCCCAUCCAUAUCCCAACACGGACAAAAAUAUUUUAAUUUUUUUGCCUUAAAAAUCACGCAUGAAGCUUCCUAGAAAUUUCAUACUUCUUUGUCAUUAUCUAUAUUUUCUACUUCUUUUUCAUCGUCAAUAUUUGUGUAUAUAUAUAAAAUAAAACUUGCAAGAAAAUACAAAAAUGAUAGAUGGCAAAAUGGUUUUUAUGUUAAGAAGGUUCUAAAUUUUUCACACCUUUACAGUAUAAAAAAAAAAAAAAAAAAAAACUUUUUAAAUACAGAACUAUUUCGGACUUGAAUCAUUUUGAAAUUCAGAGACUUGAAAAGUGUUUGUUGGACUUGAAGGAGUUUGGAGUUAAUCUUGAACUUAGAUAUGUUUAGAAAUCAAAGUGGAUUUGAAGAAGAUUGAAAUCCACGACAUGACAACACUGUAAUAUGAAUAGUGUUUUGUCAAAAAAAAUUACUAUUUACUAUUUACUAGGGCAUAAAAGAAAAAUACAAAAUAAUACUCUAAAAAUGCGAAGGAAAGAUUGUUGGUCGUUGAAUAAGGGGAAAAAAAAGAAGAAAAGUAAAAUGUGAAAAAAAAAAGCUUCAAGAGUGCAAUUAAUAAUUGUGGUAGGCCCUGACUUUUGUCUUGUGAACCCGCCUAUUAUUGAAUGGAAAAGGGAUAUAGCCAACCAAAAUAAUUGAGAGUAAAGAAAGGAACACCUCACCACUAUGCUCCAAAUUGAGAGAAAAACAAAGUCAGCCGGCAUCCAAGGACAUUUUUAUUAAAAAAGUAAAGAAAAGAAAUGGUGCUUUAGCUAUUAUCAUAUCAACUCCUAGGAAAUAAAUGAAAAGAACAAGUAAAUGAAAAGAAACAAAAAAAAAAGUUCUUAGAAUGCAAAAAGAAGAUAUUGGAUAUUGAAUGCCCAAAAGAGAAAAAAAUAAAAUGGUAAGAUGUAAAGAAAAGAGUCAGAAAAGCUUCACAAUUGCAAUUAAUAAUUGAGGUACGACUUGGACUUUUGUGAACCCUCACUGUUAAUGCUAAAGGGUUACAGCUAAGGAAAGGAUAAAUGGGAGAGAAGAACAGGACAUCCUCACCACCAUCGUCUUAGCAUCAAAGACCCUCUUUUUUCUUCUUCCAAAUUCUGUUCUUGUAAUUUUGUUACAAUCCAACCAUGGCUUCCUCUAGCAAUUCUAAGAGACCCUUUUGUUCUUCUUCUUCUUCUAAUUCUAAAUGGAGGUACGAUGUGUUCUUGAGUUUCAGAGGCGAGGAUACCCGCAACAACUUUACUAGUCAUCUCUACAAGGAUUUGGAUAAGGCCAACAUUAAAACCUUUAAAGAUGAUGAAGAACUUCGAAAGGGAGGAGAGAUUGCACCCGAGCUCCUAAAAGCUAUUGAAGAAUCAAGGAUCGCCAUUAUCGUCUUCUCGAAAACCUAUGCUCAUUCCAAGUGGUGCUUGGAUGAACUCGUCAAGAUCAUGGAGUGCCAGAAAGAAAAGGGACAAAUAGUUUAUCCCGUUUUCUAUCACGUACGGCCGUGUGAAGUCAGGAACCAGUAUGGGACUUAUGGAGAAGAAUUUAAGAAACACGAGAGCAAUGCGGACGAGGAGAAGAAGAAGAAAAUAGGGGAGUGGAGGACUGCCUUAAGGAAAGCCGGUGAUUUGAGUGGAUUUAGUCUGCGGGAUAGGUAAUCCCUACUUCACUUUUUCCAUUUCCAAUUUUCUGUCAGUUUAUUUUCAUUCUUGUUAGUAAAUAAAAUAUUUAUGAUUACAUAUAUCAAUCAAAAUCCAGUUUUUAAGUAGUAGACAUUAAUAUGUUUGAUUUCUUGGAAAGUAAUAAGAAGAGUUAAAAAUAAAUAAAAAUAAAAAUUUAAAAAAUUUGAUUUUCUUAUAUUUAAUGUAUUAUUAAAAAAUAUGAAAGAAAAUAAAAAUAUAAUUAAAAUACAUUGUAAAAAUAUAUAUAAUUAGUUUAUAAUUAAAAUAAUCUUAGAAAAUCUAUAGUAGUUGUUCUGGGCUCAUUCAGGCCCAACAGGUAAUCCCUAUUUCACUUUUUCCAUUACCAAUUUUCUGUCGGUUUAUUUUCAUUCUUGUUAAUAAAUAAAAUAUUUAUGAUUACAUUUAUCAAUCAAAAUCCAUUUUUAAGUAGUAGACAUUAAUAUGUUUGAUUUCUUGGAAAGUAAUAAGAAAGAGUAAAAAAAAAAAUUGACUUUCUCACAUUUAAUUUAUUAUUAAAAUUAUAAAAGGAAAUCAAAUAUAAUUAAAAUAUAUCGAAAAAAAAAAUAUUUGCCUACAAUUGGGAUAAUAUUAGAAAAUCUAUAGUAGGUGUUGUGGGCUCAUUCAGGCCCAGGUAAUACUGGUAAAAAAAUAAAAUAAAAUAAUUAUGCCAAAUGCCAAGUUUUGAAUUGUUAAAAAUCUUUAAGAUUCCAAAAUAUUCUUCCUUUCUAAUCAAUCCAUCUCAGCCAUAAUUUCUAUCAAUUAAAUUGUUCAAAUUGGUUAUUUAUAUGCUUUGUAAAUUUGGAGAUAAUCUGAGAUGAUUAUUUAAAAUAUUGUAAUACUACCCUAAAUUUUUUUGGACCCUCUUAUGGGACAAAAAACUUAGUUAUUGCACCCUUAACCUUUUUCAAUUUUAGAGGAAUUUUCUAUUACUAAAAUAAUUUUCUCAUGUUCUCUGUGCACUACAUGAGUUUACAUUUCUUCUUUACUUAAUAUUGUUUGUUCCUCUAUAUUUGCAAGUUGAUUAUUAAAUUUAUUUACCUUUUAAUCUAAUGUUUGUAUCUCGUUUUAUUCUAAUUAUCCCAUGACAUCUGGAUAAUCUCUUCUUAAGACCUUGACAUGACAUAAUGAAAUUUUAUUUAAACAUGCAAUUCAACACAUUUUUAAUUUACAUUCUAUUUGACCUUAAUUUAAUUGCACCGAACUAAAGAUCAUUCUAUAAUUUCCAUUUACUUCAUCUUUGUUUUCUUUGACAAUUGAUUGUAGCUUACUCCAUGUUUUAUUGUACUUUAUAAUGGACAGAUCUGAGGCAGAGUUUAUUGAAGAAAUCAUUGGUGAGAUUCGAAGAUUAAUUCCUAAGUGGGUACAUGUUGGUGAGAAUAUUGUUGGAAUGGAUGAAAAUUUGAAAAAAGUGAAGUUAUUGAUAGAUGCCCAAUCAAAUAAAGUGAGUAUGGUUGGGAUUUAUGGGACUGGUGGGAUUGGUAAAACUACCAUCGCCAAGGUUGUUUACAAUGAUAUGUUAGAUCAAUUUAAAUGUCACAGCUUUCUUGAAAAUGUGAGAGAGAAAUAUGAAGAUAAAGGUGAUUUGCUUCAAUUACAAAAAGAACUUCUUUGUGAUAUCCUAAUGGAGAAAAAUCUGGUGUUAAGGAAUAUUGAUGAAGGAUUUAAAAAGAUAAAGAGUAAGCGUCACUCUGAAAAGGUUCUUAUUGUUCUUGAUGAUGUAGGUUGUGAAGAACAAUUAAAAUUCUUAGCUCCUAAUUCUGAAUGUUUUCAUCCAGGAAGCAUAAUCAUUGUGACCACGAGAAAUAAGCGUUGCCUAGAUGUAUAUGACUCGUAUUCAUCAUAUGAGGCUAAGAGAAUGGCAGACAAGCAAGCUGAGGAACUCUUUUGUUGGAAUGCCUUCAAGCAAGACCAUCCCAUAGAAAAUUUUGUGGGCCUCUCUAAUCGUAUACUGGAUUAUGCUGACGGCCUUCCAUUGGCUCUUGUAGUUUUGGGUUCUUUUCUCUUUCAAAGGCCUAUGGAUGAAUGGGAAAGCACAUUGGAUGAACUCAAAACAAUCCCUCCCGAGAAUAUUCAAAAGGUACUCCAGAUAAGUUAUGAUGGACUAAGUGAUGAACGCAAGAAGUUGUUUCUUUAUAUUGCAUGCUUCUUCAAAGAUGAGGAUGAAAAAAUGGCAACAAGAAUACUAGAAAGUUGCAAAUUACAUCCCGCUAUUGGACUAAGAGUUCUUCAUGAGAGGUGUCUUAUUUCUAUAGAGGACAACACUAUAAGGAUGCAUGACUUGUUACAAGAAAUGGGUUGGGCAAUUGUUUGCAAUGAUCCAGAACGUCCAGGAAAAUGGAGCAGAUUGUGCGAAUUACAGGAUAUUGAAAGUGUAUUAUCACAAAAUGAGGUAAGAGAAAAAUACAUGAACAUACUUGAGAUCUAAAGACAUAAAAGAUUCAACAAGAUUUAUUUUUAUUAUUAUUAUAGUUUGAGUAUAUUAUCUAUAUAAUUUUAGUGAAUCCCUAUGCAUCUUAUACUGCUCAUUCUCAAUCCUUGUUUUCAGUGGACAAAAAACAUUGAGGGGAUUUUCACAAGUCAGUCUCGCCAUACAGGAAAACAUAUACAACUUACUACUGAAGUUUUCAGAAAUAUGAAUCAACUUAGAUUGCUCAAAGUCGAAUUCAAUCAGAUCGUGCAGCUUUCCCAAGACUUUGAAUUGCCUUGUCAUGAUUUAGUAUAUUUUCAUUGGGAUUACUACCCUUUAGAAUAUUUGCCAUCAAAUUUUCAUACAGACAAUCUUGUUGAACUCAACCUCUGGUGUAGCCGCAUAAAACAUCUUUGGGAAGGAAAUAUGGUAUUGCUAUUAUUUAGUUAUAUUUUUGUUGUAGACUAAUUUUAAAGUCUUUUGAAGUUUACUUCUUGACACAAAUUUUCUUCUGUUACAGCCUGCUAAAAAGUUAAAAGUCAUUGAUCUUAGUUAUUCCAUGCAUCUGGUUGACAUUUCAAGCAUCUCAAGUAUGCCAAAUUUGGAGACUCUAACUCUAAAAGGUUGUACAAGGUUCCUUAAGUGUUUCAUCCAUGCUAAAUGUUAUUAUCAGUCAUGAACUAAUUGUUUUCUUGAAUAUAAUAGGGUGCACGAGACUUAAGAGUCUUCCAAGGAACUUUCCUAAGUUGGAAUGCCUUCAAACACUCUCUUGUUGUGGCUGUUCAAACUUAGAGAGUUUUCCGAAGAUCGAGGAAGAAAUGAGAAGUCUAAGAAAGCUUAAUUUAAGUCAAACAGGUAUAAUGGGAUUACCAUCAUCAAUUAGCAAGCUAAAUGGGCUUAAAGAGUUGGACUUAAGUAGUUGCAAAAAGCUUUCGAGUCUUCCGGACAGUAUUUAUAGUUUGAGCUCUCUUCAAACUCUCAAUCUAUUUGCAUGUUCACGACUAGUGGGCUUUCCGGGUAUCAAUAUUGGAAGUCUAAAAGCUCUUAAAUACUUGGAUUUGUCAUGGUGUGAGAACCUUGAGAGUCUUCCGAAUAGUAUUGGUAGUUUGAGCUCUCUUCAAACUCUUUUAUUGAUAGGGUGUUCAAAACUGAAGGGCUUUCCAGAUAUCAAUUUUGGAAGUCUAAAAGCUCUUGAAUCGUUAGAUUUCUCAGGUUGCAGAAACCUUGAGAGUCUUCCCGUGAGCAUUUACAAUGUAAGCUCUCUCAAAACUUUGGGGAUUACAAAUUGUCCAAAACUCGAGGAAAUGUUAGAGAUGAAACUAGGGGUUGAUCCAUGCCCCUGGCCAUUUUCACCUCUAACCUGUCACAUUUCAAAUUCAGCAAUAAUCUGGGAUGAUCACUGGCAUGACUGCUUUUCCUCAUUAGAAGCAUUAGACUCACAGUGCCCCCUGUCAUCACUGGUAGAAUUAUCUGUAAGAAAGUUUUAUGACAUGGAAGAAGACAUCCCCAUUGGCAGUUCCCACCUAACCUCAUUGGAAAUAUUAUCUCUGGGGAACGUCCCUACAGUAGUAGAAGGAAUCCUCUAUGACAUUUUCCAUCUAUCUUCAUUGGUAAAAUUAUCUCUUACUAAAUGCAAGCCAACAGAAGAAGGAAUCCCCCGUGAUAUUCAGAACCUAUCUCCACUGCAACAAUUAUCUCUACAUGACUGCAAUCUAAUGAAAGGAACGAUCCUCGAUCAUAUUUGCCAUCUAACAUCCUUGGAAGAAUUAUAUCUGGGUUGGAACCAUUUUAGUAGCAUUCCUGCUGGCAUCAGUCGACUUUCCAAUCUAAAAGCCCUUGACUUGAGUCACUGCAAGAAGCUUCAACAAAUUCCAGAGCUUCCAUCUAGUCUACGAUUUUUAGAUGCGCACUGUCCGGAUCGUAUUUCAUCAAGCCCCUUGCUUCUACCUAUUCAUUCUAUGGUCAAUUGCUUCAAAUCAAAAAUUGAGGUAUGAUUCUCAUGCCACGUUCCUUUUUCUUUUGUACCCAUUGGAUUUACAUGGUGCUUUCGUGCAGGGGCGCAAGGUUAUUAAUAGGUAUUCUUCCUUCUAUGGCAAUGGGAUUGGUAUUGUUAUUCCUAGUAGUGGAAUUCUAGAGUGGAUAACGUAUCGGAAUAUGGGAAGGCAAGUAACAAUAGAGCUCCCUCCGAAUUGGUAUAAAAAUGAUGACUUGUGGGGAUUUGCUUUAUGCUGUGUUUAUGUUGCACCUGCCUGUAAAUCUGAGGAUGAAUCUCAGUAUGAAUCAGGUCUUAUAUCUGAGGAUGACAGUGACCUUAAAGAUGAAGAAGCAAGCUUUUAUUGUGAAUUGACAAUCGAAGGAAAUAAUCAAUCAGAAGACGUGGGUCAUUUCUUUCUUCAUUCUCGCUGUAUUAAGGAUGAUGUAUCAGAUAUGCAGUGGGUGAUAUGUUAUCCCAAGUUAGCUAUUGAGAAAAGUUAUCACACCAAUCAAUGGACACACUUCAAGGCUUCAUUUGGUGGUGCCCAAGUGGAAGAGUGCGGAAUCCGUCUUGUAUACAGAAAAGAUUAUGAACAGAAGCAUCCAAGAAUGGCACAAGGCAGUACUUCUCAUGGGAAUUUUGGUGAGCAUGGAUCAGUAAGAGAAGAUACUGAUAGUAAAGCUCACAAUAAAAGGAAUCCCACAGAACAGAGCCCAGGAGAGGAGUCACACCAUAAAAGAUCCAGAGAAACCCAAGACUGAUCUCAAGUAUUAGGCUCAACCACACUUGCAUCACUAAUGCUCUCUUUACUGGUAAUUCAUCUUCCUUUCUCUUUCUAAUUCAAAGGUCAGAAUUUUUUUUUUAUCGUGUUUCUCCUUUUUAUUUGUUUUUUUUUUCCCCAAGACAAACAAAACUUUGAGGCUAUCACCCAUGGGCGCAAACUUCAAUGGUACACCUCCCAAGUUUGUUUUUCUCUCUCUCCAACCGUCUCUCCCUAGAUUUUUCUGCAUUUUCUUCAAACUCAUAUUUCCAUAUGAAAUUCAAUUACAUUCGAGCAUUUCAAUCUCUGUAGCUACUGUCUGAAUCAAUUAUAGGGUUUCUUUUUUCUGGAAGUUUGUAAUGUUAUUGAUUUAAGACUUCAUGUUUGGGGAUGUUUUGGGUGGCUUGUUCACUGGUAUUACUUGUGAUAAUUGCAGCUCUGGUGCUUUCAAUGACUGACAAUAGUUGAAACUAUGUUGAAUGCUUGUACUAAGGGAAUGGACUUCAGCUGCUCCAGGGUUAGUGCUAUAACAUCAGUAUUCACUCUUCAAGAAUGUAUAUAGUUGUUGUUUUGGAAUUUUGAAAUUACUUAGCAUCAGACAAUUUCUAACUCGGGAUUUGGAUUGGGAACCAUAAGUUAUCUCACCCUAGUGUUCUUUGGAAUAAUUAUAGGAUUUUGUAAGUAACUUUGGACUUGUUAGCAAUGUUCUGGAUUUGUGAAUAAUUUAUAGAAUACAUUGGGUGUUUUUUUUUUUUGGUCCAUCAAAAACUUCAAGAACUUUGAGGGUGAAUAAUGUAUGACUGUACUCUUCUCUAUCUCUGUGGUCAUAGCACACGUAUGAUUUGGUGCUUUUUUGCAGGCCUUCAACAGCAGCAAAGCAUCUGGUGGCUUGCAGUACUAAUCUUGCAUUAUAUUCUCUGUUUUGCAAUCAUUUGGUACUUUUUGUCCCAACCAAGGAUAGCUCUGUGCAAGCAGUCUCGACUGUGGAACAAGUAAAACAAAUGGUACCUGCUGAAGCUGAGAGUGCAGAUGAUAAACUGGUGCGGAAGGUGGUCAACCAAAAGAAUCAGACAGCAAAAACUAAAAAGCCCAUGAAGCCUGCUACUGAAGCAGUCUCAGCACCUGUUUCUAGGAGGGGUGAGAUUGAAGUGACUGAAGAAAAGGAGCAUCAGCAAACAAAGAAGGAAGAGGAGUUGGCCAGGAAGGUAGAGGAAUUGAGAAGUGAAGAAGAAGCAGCCAUGUUGAAGGAGCAAAGUCUGUUGGAGGAGAGAAAGCCAACGUUAAGGAGGCACUGGAAAGGCAACAAGGAACUGCAGAAAAGGCCAAUUUCUCUGUGAGUGCUGCCACCUUUUCAUGAUACAGCCAUCAUAAUGGAUGUUAAAAGCAGUCUAACUCUACAUACUUCCUUGCAUUAUACUAGUCAUUGAUGGGCUUAAAUUUUAAUUUAAAUGUAGUAUAAAUAUAUAAGUAGAUUGAUUGGGUCUGAAUUUGAACCUGGUUCGAGUCAUACUCCCAUCCAAUCCAAACUUGUGAUUGGGCUUGAAUUUCUUGGCCCAACCAGCGAAAUCAUUGACCAACGGCCCUUAGUUUGGGCUGGGCUUGAUGGUCCUCAGGUUAUGUAGGCUUAAUACUGAUUGGGUUUGGGCUUCCAUGCAGUUGUACUUGGAUUCUAUGUUUCCUAAUAUUAACACUAAAUUAGGUUUAAUUUAUAAUUAAAUAUAAUUAGUUUGAGACUAACUCCAAUCUUUAGUUAAACCAACUAAGUUUUAUGCAAAGGUUUAUAUUCCUAAUACCAUCAGGUAUUAUAGUAAAUACCAUUGAAAAACUAAAUUCAUGUGGAAGUUUCACUAGGUGAUACGACAUUAAAUUAUUAAGAUAAAAUUAAAAAAAGAUCAUGCUCGUAUGUCCCGUUGUUUGUCAUAAGAGAAUUUCUUUCUAGAUUUUUUUUUUUUUGCUCUUUUCAAUUCUAGAUAUUUUAAUAUAUCUUUACUUUUUCAAAAACAAUCCAUAGGAUUGUUCCCAAACAUAUAUCAUAUAAAUAUAUAUUUUUAAGAUUGAUUUUUAAGAAUGUUAUCAAAUAAACUCAUAAUAGCAUUUUUUUCUUUACAAUUACCAAUUCGUAUGAUGAAUUAAUUACUUUCAAUAACCGACAUCAUCUAAUCAAAAUUAUAAUUAAGUAUCAUAUUAAAAGAGUGUUUAAAAAAUCAAAUUUAAUAACUUAAAGUGAUUUAAUAAUUUAAUUUAAAUUAUUAAAAUAACUUGAUGUCACAAUUUAAAGUUAGAAAUGACUUAAUUUAUUUUUAUUUAAAUUUAAAACUAAGUUUACAAAAAAGGUUUAAAAUUCAUAUCAAUUAAGAAAUUAAGUCAUUAAGUUACUUUAAGCCAUUAAAUUGAUCUACCAAUUAAACACCCUUGAAGAUAUUACAUAAAGUUCACCUUCUACAUAUCAUGAAAAUUUAAAAUUAAUUACAACAUCAAGAAUCUUUAGUUCCUAAUCGAUAUCAUAUUUAAUCCUUGGUUGUAAAUUUCUUUACAUAUGUAGAUAUAUUUUUAUAUUGCAAGUGGGUUGCCGACUUUUCAUUUUAUACUAGUUUUGAAAUUAAGAUUGUAGUUUUUAUUUUGUCCAAAUCUAAUUUGGAGGGAGAAUCUUUAGAGGCUAUUUUAUAUUCAAAUAGGAAAAUUUUAAAUUUAAUAGUCCCACCUUAUAAAGGCAAAUAUCUUGGACCCUACAUGGGUGCCUCUUACAUGCAAAAGGACAAAGACUUAUUGAAAGCCUCUCUCAUUCACAUGGAUGCCAUCAUUCAUCAAAGUUGAAACAUGAAACCCACACAAAAGCAAUUUCAAUAUUUUUUUUCAUAACUAUAGCUGAGAAUCUCAAUAUUAUUAAAUAGUGACAAAAUUAAUUUCAAUAUUUUUUUUUCUUAUUUUUUGCUCCUUGUGGUUAUAUUUUCAUCUGGAAAGUAUUAAAUAUAUUAAAAAAGAAAAAAAUUAUAAAAAAAUUUUUUUCCUAGUUAAUUAUACUAUGAAAAAUAUAGAGUAAAAUAAAAUAUAAUUAAAAUUAGUUAAAAAAUUAUAUUUUUAUAAAAUUAUUUGACUUUUUUAUAAAAAUUUAAAAUAAGUGACAUGAGUUUGAAAUAGUAUAUAUAUUGACUUUAAUUCUUUCAAAUUAAUCACUAGGUUGUUAGAGACAUACACCUAUGAUCCAAAGGUUUUCCCAACAAAGAUAUCAAUAAAUCUUUCUACUCCAUUGAUUGCAUCUUGAAUUCUUUCAAAUUAAUCACUUCAUUGUAAUCAUUAUUCACUUCAUUGUGAUUUGUCAGACAACAAUUCAUUUCUGCUUCAUGGUUGGACCUUGAGGUAAGGCUUUAGAGGCAUAAGCCUCAAAAGCCUCUUAAAAUUGGUUCUACACUUCUUGCAUGAUGAAUGCAAGUUCCAAAUUUUGAUGACUUGGUAAUGUUGGAGUAAUUGGGUUGAAAGCAGUCAAACACAAAUAUUUAUUAAAGAAGAUAAAAAUUUGGAAGAAUUAAAAUUUUAUUGUAUUCUACCACUCUUUUUUUUAUUCAAAUAUUACAUAAUCCUUUAUUAACUAAAAAUGACAUAAUUAAAAGUAAAUUAUCAUUUGAUUGCAAUGGAUUUAAUAGAAUAUGGUGGAUAUGCUAAAUUUUUGUCUGAUAAUAAAAUUUGAUUUGAGUGAAUAUAAUUAGAGUAAAAUAGUCUUUUUAACUAUCACUUUUACAAUAAAAAGUGUUUUAUUUAAACAAAUAUUUAAUAAAAUUUUAAAAACAUUUGAUAAAUAAUUAUUAUAAAAACUCUUCCUCGAAAAUACUUCAAAGUUCGUCGGAUGGUAAAUUAUACAUCAAGAUCUUAAUGAUGGUCCAUGCAACCAUCACCAUUGAUUGUUUUUGAAAACACAACUUCAAUUUAAAUAAUAUUUUAAGGUAACUCCUAGUUAUCAUAUUUUACAAGAUAUUUUUUAAAAUUAUUGUUUUUUUUCUUUCAAAAUCCUAAGAGAGAGGUCACCAAUAUCAAAAUAAUGUGACCCAUCUCUAUACUAUUGUCUCCAUUAUUUGGACUAUAUCAUAGUUUCCUUAUUGACAACAUGGUAGCCAUGUUAAAUACCUACAACUUUGAAAACAAGAUCUCAAAACUAUGCCUAUUUGAUUAUAAGGCUUAAUUAUUAUAGUUUAUCAUUUCCUAGCAUAUAUAGUUCUUAGCAUCUAAGUAUUUGUUAUAUAAGAAUUUUUCUCAUUUUUCAAGCUUGCAUUUUGUUUAGAAAUUUUUUGAGUUUUUUACAAUCAUUUUGAAAAUGUCAACUCAUAAUUAUAUACAUUUUAGUUCUAUAAGGACUAAAAUCACUUAACAUCAUGGUAAUACUAUUUAAGGUAAUUUGCUUUGAAUCAGAAUGAACUUAUAUACAACUUACGAUUUAUGGUAAUAAUAGAGAUCGAAUUUAAAAAUACAUAAGUUUUCAAUUAAAUAUUAAUAUAUUUAUGUUUCCUUCUUAUUUUUAAUCCUAAAACACAUUAAAUGUAUGCUCUUGAAUUCCUCCAUGUAAUGCGAUUUGAUAUAAUGAUAAAUCAACAAUUAUGAUUUAAUAAUAUGGUGCUUUGACUUUUGACAUUUAAGUAACACCGUCAAUAAAAGCUCCAUAUCUUUGCUUCAUGGAAGAACGUACAAAUGAUGUGAUUGAAUUACAUUUCAAUUAUGUUUGAUUCUUUGAAAAUACUCAAGAAAAAUAAAUAUUUAAAAAAAUAAUUUUCUCAUAUUUGAUUUUACUAUAAAAAAAAUACAUAAUUAAAAUUAGUAAUAAAUUUAAAUAAUUUUAAAUUACUUAAUCUUUAUAUAAAAAAGUUAAAUUAGUAAAACGAGUUUAAAACAUGAUAUAAAGGUAAUUUAUUGACUUUAAUUUUUUUUUUUUACUUCACUUUUUCUUUCCUUCUCUUUGAUGAGAUCAUCUUAGAUAAAUUGUUAAUUGAUUGCAGCAUAUUCAAUUGAAUUCGAUAGUCUAGGUAUCAUAAAUCAUACAUGUUGUGCACCAUUUACAGUAAAUGAACCGUCACAAACCAUACAUAGAGGAGAUGUUGAUUUCAUUAUAAAUCAUACGAUAAUUACAAAAGAUAUGAUAUUAACUUGCAGUAAAUUGCAACAUCGGCACUCUAAUGCUAGACAAAGUAACUAGACAAAGUAAGUCUAAUUAUUGCUAACUUUCCUCAUCUUUCUUGGGCCUUUUGGGUGCUUUUUGUGCAAAAGAGAAAAAGCUAUAACUAAAUUGCCAAUCCAUCACCGACGUUAUAGACUGAUGAAGAAUACCAAAGGGAGUGUUACGAAAUAAUGAGAAUAAAUAAUAAGAAAAAUAGAAUAAGAACACAUAGAUAUACGUGAAAAACUUUAGAUGGGAAAAAUCAUGAGAAAACGAGAAAAAGAUCCGUUAUGUCAAAAAUUGGUACAAAAUGGGAGAGUUGAAAGCGACUACAACAAAAGUAUAAUCAUCGUAACCCUAAAACUAUACAUCAUUAUUAUAUAUAUAUAUAUAUGUAUAUAUAUAUAUAUGCGAGAGUUGAGAACAACUAUGGGAUGAGGUCUAUCGACUCGAUCCCUUCACUACCCCCACAAAUCUCUCAAAAAAUCUCAUAAUUUUAACUUUACUACAUAUAUUGCAUCGCGAGCUUUUCGAAUUGAAUAAAAAAGAAUUUGGAAUCAUCAAACAGUAACAAAGGGAGUGAGAUCAUAACUUUGGAAGGAUUUUUUUUUUUUUUAAAUGUAGACUUGAAUGGUAAAUACUAAAAUGUGUUUGAGAGUGAUACUUGAAAGUAUUUUUAAUAUUUUUAAUAUUCGAAAAAUAAAAAAUUUUCAAAUAUUAAAAAUAUUUCCUAAAAUCAAUAUCAAAAACCAUUUUACAAAAUCAGUAUCAAACUAUCAAACAUAAUUUGAAUUUAAAUAGAGACAAGAACAACAUUGACUCUUGACUCACCAAACCAGUCCUAGUUCACUUAUUGAAUGAAAAGAAAAUAAUUAAAAAUAAAUAACAGCAUCCAUUCUACCAUGUUAUGAAGAGUAAAAGACAAUGGAGAUUUUAACUUUGUUGCCUUAAAAGUCAUGCCCCCUUUCAUGAGUAUAUAUAAUAAAAUAUAUUCGUUUGCAUCUCUUGAAUGCAAAUAAUUUGAUAAUUUUUUUAUAAUUAAUUUAUGAAGAUAACAAUUUGAUAAUUAGACAAUUAUGUUGAUAUUUUGACAUUAUUAUCAAUUUACCAAAUAAGAUUGUUUUUCACCCAACAAUAAUUUACUUAGAAUAAUAAAUAAAUUAAAUUAGCUAACGUAACCAAAGCAUUUGAUUAAAAAUUGGUUUUCAUUUACAAAGAUAAGUUGAAAAUUAAUUUUAAUUUGAUUUAAUUAGGAAAUUAAUUUUUUGCUUGUUAAGUUUGUUUUAAUUUGUAAAUUCAUGUAAAUAAAAAAAAGGAUAAAAAGAUAAUUUUCAUGUGAAAAUUCAUUUAAUUUGAAAAUAAAUGAUGUAAUGUGUUUCAUUGUCGGUUAGCAUUUUUCUUUUUUUCUUGUUUGUAUAACUUUUUAAAAUGUAAAAGAUAAUAAUAAAAUAAGAAAUAAUCAAUAAAUUAAAAAAAUAAAAUAAAUGAUCUCACUAAAAAUGUUUUUUUACCUUAUGUCAUAUGACUUGGAUUAUUUUUUUUCUCUUUUCAGUAAAACAAACUUUUAAUAUAAAUAAAAAAAUAAAAUAGGACAUAGAGGAAAAUAGCUAAAGAGUAUAAAAAAAAUUCAAAAUAAUGCACUAAAAAUGGAAAGAGAAUAUGGUGAGUAGUUGAAUAAUAAUAAAUAAAAAAAAGUCAAAAAAGCUUCAAUACUCUUUGAAUCCACUGUUAGUGAAUGCCAAAAGGCAUACAUCAUACACGCAACUAGAAAUAAAAUGGUAAAAUAUAAAGAAAAGAGUCAGAAAAAGCACGAAGACUACAAUUAAUAAUCGUGGCAGGACUUCGACUCUCGUGAACCCCCCACUGUCACUCAAUGCUAUAGGGUUACAGGCUUGGAGCCAAUCAAAGAUAAUUGAGACAGAAGAACCAGACAUCCUCAACACCAUCGUCUCAGACUCUCAGCAUUCAAAGACCCCUUUGUAUUUUCUUCUUCCAAAUUCUGUUCUUGUAAUUUUGUUACAAUCCAACCAUGGCUUCCACUAGCAAUCCCAAGAGACCCUCUUCUUCUUCUAAUUCUAAAUGGAGGUACGAUGUGGUCUUGAGUUUCAGAGGCGAGGAUACCCGCAACAACUUUACUAGUCAUCUCUACAAGGCUUUGGAUCAUGCCAACAUUGAAACCUUUAUAGAUGAUGAAGGACUUCCAAGGGGAGAAGAGAUUGCGCCCGAGCUCCUAAAAGCUAUUGAAGGAUCAAGGAUUGCCCUUAUUGUCUUCUCGAAAACCUAUGCUCAUUCCAAGUGGUGCUUGGAUGAACUCGUCAAGAUCAUGGAGUGCGAGAAAGAAAAGGGACAACAGGUUUUUCCUAUUUUCUAUCAUGUAGAGCCGUCUGAAGUCAGGAACCAGACUGGGAUUUAUGGAGAAGCAUUUAACAAUCACGAAAGAAAUGCAGACGAGGAGAAGAAGAAGAAGAAGAUAGAGCAGUGGCGGACUGCCUUAAGGAAAGCUGGUAAUUUGAGUGGAUUUCCUCUGCAGGAUAGGUAAUCCCUACUUCACUUUUUCCAUUCCCAAUUUUCUGUCAGUUUAUUUUCAUUCUUGUUAAUAAAUAAAAUAUUUAUGAUUACAUUUAUCAAUCAAAAUCCAUUUUUAAGUAGUAGACAUUAAUAUGUUCGAUUUCUUGGAAAGUAAUAAGAAAGAGUAAAAAAAAAAAAAAAAAAGAUUUUCUCACAUUUAAUUUAUUAUUAAAAUUAUAAAAGGAAAUCAAAUAUAAUUAAAAUAUAUCAGAAAAAAUUAUAUUUGCCCAGCAGGUGGAAAUGCCAAGUUUUGAAUUGUUAAAAAUCUUUAAGAUUCCAAAAUAUUCUUCCUUUCUAAUCGAUCCAUCUUAGCCAUAAUUUCUAUCAGUUAAAAAAAAUGGUAGUCUGUCAAAUAAAUUGUUAAAAUUGGUUAUUUAUAUGCCUUGUAAAUUUGGAGAUAAUCUGAGAUGAUUAUUUAAAAUAUUGUAAUACUACCCUAAAUUUUUUUGGACCCUCUUAUGGGACAAAAAACUUAGUUAUUGCACCCUUAACCUUUUUCAAUUUUAGAGGAAUUUUCCAUUACUUAAAUAAUUUUCUCUUCUUCUCUGUGCACUACAUGAGUUUACAUUUCUUCUUUACUUAAUAUUGUUUGUUCCUCUAUAUUUGCAAGUUGAUUAUUAAAUUUAUUUACCUUUUAAUCUAAUGUUUGUAUCUCGUUUUAUUCUAAUUAUCCCAUGACUCUUCUUAAGACCUUGUCUUUCACGUUGAAUCAUCUAAUGCUAAACUUAUUCCCUUACUAUUCUACUUUGUGUACUCAUGGGAUUAAUGUAUUGCAAUCAAAAUUAUUUUUUUUAAUCUCUUUUUCUCUUGUAUGUUCUACAUUCCUCUAUACCUCACAAAUAAAAGCAAGUAACCUUACAGCUUGUUUGACAAUAUAUUUGCAACUAAUGUUCAAAAAAUAGUUUUCCCCAACACAAUGUUGAAAAUAAUGAACAAAAUUUUAUUUGAAAAUUCAAAUAUGAAGAACGACUUUCUCGACUUAUUAACUAUGAAGGUGCUAUAAAUUUUUGUACAACAUAACAAUUCUCUAAGUAUUAUCUAUAUUUUCAAUUCUUUAUCACAAUACUCUAUAAGAAAAUACCUAAAAACAUUUCAAAUAUGCUCUUAAAAAUGAACUUGUUUACCAAACAAAUUUUUGAAAAUUAUUUUUAAUAAAAGAAAAAAUUAAAAAUAUAAUCAAGUGACAUGAAAUAUGGGAUGAAAAAUAAUAAGUUCUGUAUAUUAGAUUGACUAUACACACAGUUUAUAUUGGAUAUUACAAGAGAAGAAAUAAGAAACAAGAGACAUAAUAGAAAACUAACUUAUUCAUAAACUAACUUAUUCCUAAAUCAUAAAACUAUCUAUUUACAAAAAUAAAAAACUAAUAUAAUAUGAAAAUAAUUCUCCUAUUCUAUUUACAGCUCAAUUACAACCUAUUUACAGCUCAACACUCCCCCUCAAGCUAAGGAAUAGAUGUCUUCCAUUCCAAGCUUGAAUACAAGAUCGUGAAACAUUGAACUGUUCAGCCCUUUUGUUAGGAUAUCAACUAAUUGAUGUUUUGAUGGAACAUAGGACAUACACACUACUCCUUCCUCCAAUUUUUCUUUGAUAAAAUGCCUAUUAAUCUCAAUAUGUUUUGUCCUAUUGUGUUGUAUAGGGUUAUGAGCAAUAUUGAUAGCUGACUUGUUGUCACAAUAGAGCUUCAUAUGACCAUCCCACUUGAUUCUCAAAUCAUCUAGAAUAAUCUUCAGUCAAAGUAGUUCAUACAACCCUUGAGCAAUGUCCCUAAACUCUGAUUUUGCAGACGACCUUGCUACCACAUUCUGCUUUUUACUUUUCCAUGUUACCAGAUUACCUCGAGGAAAAGUACAAUACCCUAUAGUUGAUCUUCGAUCCACUAGGGAACCUGCAUAGUCAACGUCAGUAUAUGCUUCUAGAGUAAGAGUAUUGUUCUUUUUGAACAAAAUUCCUUUCCCGGGGUUGCCUUUCAAGUAAUGCAGCACCCUGUAAGCAACUUGAAGAUGAGGUUCUCUUGGAUCAUGCAUGAAUUGACUGAUCACGCUCACCGAGUAGGCGAUGUCUGGCAAGUGUGAGCAAGGUAUAUGAGCCUACCAACUAGCCUUUGGUACAUUCUUUUAUCCACCACUGGUUCUUCUUUAGCUUCUCCCAACUUGUGAUUUGGAUCCAUUGGGGUAGAGACUAGUUUACACCCAAUCUUCCUUGUUUCUGUCAAUAAAUUAGUCACAUACUUUUGUUGAUAGAUGAAGAUCUCUUGUGUGGAAUAUGCCACCUCAAUAUUGAGGAAGUGCUUUACUUUCCCUAGUUCCUUUAUCUCAAACUCUGUUGCUAAUCUUUGCUUCACUUCAUGCUUUUCUCUCUCAUCAUUUCCAGUCAUUAUGAUGUCGUCAACAUAGACUAGAAAAGCAAUUACUCCCCCUGUAGCCGAGUGCUUAAUGAAGAGAGUGUGGUCACCUUGGCUUUGCUUGUACCCAUACUCUUUCAUGACUUUUUCAAAUCUCUCAAACCAAGCCCUAGGAGAUUGUUUUAGCCUAUAAAGGGCCUUUUUCAGCCUACACACCUUGUUACCUAUGUUUCCCUCAAAUCUUGGUGGGAUGUUCAUGUAAAUCUCUUCAUCUAAAUCACCAUGAAGAAAUGCAUUCUUAACAUCAUACUAUAGGAGUUGCCAAUUGUAGUGGGUAGCCAAGGACAGUAGGAUUCUUAUAGUAUUCAUUUUUGCAACUGGAGCAAAAGCCUCCUGAUAAUCAACUCCAUAAGUUUGAGUGUACCAUUUGGCUACCAAUCUUGCUUUAUGUCUCUCAAGAGAUCCAUCAGUCUUAUAUUUCAGCGUGAAAAUCCACUUGCAAUUAACAAUGUUUUUCCCUUUCGUCUUUCAACAAUCUCCCAUGUUUUAUUAUUUUCUAAUGCAUUCAUCUCCUCUCUCAUAGCAUCCUUCCAUUCCCUUUUUGUCAAUACCUCAGAAACAGUGUUAGAGAUGAUAGUGGUGUUUAAACUCACAAUGAAAUUCUUGUGGGCUAGUGAUAGGUGCUUAAGAGACACAUAGUGUGAUAGUGGAUAGAGUGGUUAAUUAGUGCAUUAUCCGGUGCCUUUUCUGACAGCAAUGAGAAGGUCUAGGUCUAGGUUGUCUGUUGAGUCAAUGGAAGUUUCACCAAGUUGUGUAUGUAAAGGUGGGUCUAAUCUUACCGUGAUUUCAUUCCUAGGAUUUGAGUUGGAUUCUUGGACCUGCUAUUGUUCUGGAAUGACCUUUUCCCUUUAAUACAUCUUAGGAAACUGUGGAAAAUUACAAGUGACACUGGUUGGAAUAGGGAAUGACACGGGUUUAGUGGUAAAAUUGGGUGACUCAGGUGUGAUUAGUUCGGAUGACUCAAGUUCUUCAUCACCAUGGGUUGAGACAUGAGGAAGGUUAAGAGGUUCAAAGGAGUCACAAGGACUAUCCUCCAUCAUUGAAAUCUCCCCCUAAAUAGAGGACUUGGGAAAAAAGGUUUAUUUUCUGUGAAGGUGACAACUGCAGAGAUGUAAAAUUUUCUGGCUAAGGGAUUGUAACACUUGUAUCCUUUUUGAGUAGAUGAGUAAACCAAGGAAGACACAUUUUAUGGCUCGGGGGUCUAGCUUGUCUCUAUGAUGGUUGUGGACAUGAACAAAUGCAAUGCAUCAAAAUACACUAGGAGUGAGCCCAUAUGAGGUUCUAAAGUGUGGAUAGAAACUCUUAAGUAUCUCUACGGGGCUUUUGUUGUCUAACACUUGUGAGAGAAUUCUAUUUAUCAUGUAUGUGGCAGUAAGAACAGCUUCCCCCCAAUAGGACUUAGGAACAUUCCCUUGAAAGAGUAAGGCUCGGGUUGUGUUGAGUAAAUGCCCAUUUUUUCUCUCGGGUAUCCCAUUUUGUUGGGGUGUGUUAACACAUGAUGAGUCAUGGAGAAUGCCCUGUGAUUGAAAAUUGGGUGACAAAGUAUGGUUAAAGUAAUCUCUAGCAUUGUCUGUCUUAAAACUUUUUAUUUUAACCCCAAAUUGGUUUUGAACCAUUGAGUGGAAAUUAGGUAUAACAAUGCUAACAUCAGAUUUUUGUUUAAGAAGAAAGAUCCAUGUAAUCUGAGUGCAGUCAUCAAUUAAGGAUACAAACCAACGAGCCCCAUAAACAUUAGGUAUAGUCGAAGGACCCCAUAUGUCACUAAGAAUCAAAUGAAAAGGAUGAGAACUUCUUUUAUUGCUAAUAGGAAAAAAUUCACGAGUAUGUUUUGUCAAUUCACAAGUUUUGUAAUGAAACUUAGAAAUAUCUAAUCCUUGAAACAAAUGAGGAAACAUGACCUUUAAAACCCUAAAAGAUGGAUGACCUAGACGUAGGUGAUACAACCAAAUGGUAUCUUUAUUUAAGGAACUCUAAAAAGACACACAAAUUAUUACUAGUUUUCUGAGAUGAUUCAAGGUGAUAAAGACCGCUCAUUUCCUUAGCAAGUCCAAUCCUCCUUCCCGAGCCUUGUUCCUGAAAAACACAAUAAGAAUGGAAAAAAAUAGCAGAACAUUUAAGAUCAUGGGUAAGCUUUUGAAUGGAAACAAGGUUGGCCGACAAUUUUGGUACAUGGAGGACAUUUUUAAGAAUAAGGGUAGGUGUGAUAUAUAUGUCUCUGAAACCUGCAACGGUAACUAAAAAGCCAUUGGCCAUUGCAAUUUUCUUGUUACUUGGGUUUGAGGUAUAGGUAUGGAAAAGUUGAGAUUUGGAGGUCAUAUGGUCUGUGGCACCGAAGUCUAUUAUCCAAUAGUCAUUAUAAACCUUGUGUGAGGCAUUUAUGCAAAAUGAGAGUGAAGGUGUACCUGAAUUUUCCAACAUCUUCCACGAAAAAAAAAACCUGAUCUCUUGGGAAUUAAGGUAGAUCGCGAAACAAAAAAACCAGCAACAAUGAAGGUUGGUAAAAGAACACGUGAAUAAAAAAAAUCUAACUAUGAAGGCCAGAAAAAUGGCGAUGAAGGCCAGAAUGAUGCCCAGGUCUUAAAAACCUACUGCUCUGAUACCAUGACACGAAAUGUGGGAUGAAAAAUAAUAAGUUUUGUAUAUUAGAUUGACUAUAUACAUAGUUUAUAUUGGAUAUUAUAAGAGAAGAAAUAGGAAACAAGAGACAUAAUAGGAAACUAACUUAUUCCUAAAUCAUAAAACUAUCUAUUUACAAAAAUAGGAAACUAACAUAAUAGGAAAAUAAUUCUCCUAUUCUAUUUACAGCUCAAUUACAACCUAUUUAUAGCUCAACAUUAAGUUAUAAAACUAUUUUAUAUUCUAAAGAAAAAAAAAAUCUAUUUUCAAAAACAAUAUCUAUAUAAGCAUUUUUCUUUUAAGUAUGAUUUUAAAAUGUUUUUCCAUGAGUCUAAUUGUUGCUAGGAUUUUGACCAAUAAACAAAUAUGUGUGACUUUCCUCGUCAUUGUAAUUUAUAUUUGGGAAAAAAAUGGGGAUUUCAUCAAAAUAUGAAACUUAUGUAACAAUUAUUAGCAACCUAAAUAUAAAUAAAACUAAAACGGAGAAUUUACUUGUUUAUGGAAUAAAUAGUUGAAAAUUUUAUAAGCAUUGAGGAUGGUCAUAAAUCAUGUUGUAAUUAAUAAAAGCAUUUCUAGGUUAUGGAACUUGGGUGGCAAAUUGGUAGAUUUCUAGCCAAACUAGUAUUUGUCUCUAUAAUAAAAUCUCUUAUCAUAAAGGGUAAUGAUACUUUAGAAAGGUCAACUUCAAAUUGGGCCUUUAGAAGCAAUUAAGAUAUUUACAUUAUUUUAUUGCAUGUAUACUUGACAUGACAUAAUGAAAUUUUAUUUAAACAUGCAAUUCAACACAUUUUUAAUUUACAUUCUAUUUGACCUUAAUUUAAUGGCACCGAACGAAACUAAGAAUCAUUCUAUAAUUUCCAUUUACUUCAUCUUUGUUUUCUUUGACAAUUGAUUGUAGCUCACUGCAUGUUUUAUUGUACUUUAUAAUGGACAGAUUUGAGUCAGAGUUUAUUCAAGAAAUCAUUGGUGAGAUUCGAAGAUUAACUCCUAAGUUGGUACAUGUUGGUGAGAACAUAGUUGGAAUGGAUGAAAAUUUGAAAGAGGUGGAGUUAUUGAUAAACGCCCAAUCAAAUGGAGUGAGCAUGGUUGGGAUUUAUGGGAUUGGUGGGAUUGGUAAAACUACCAUUGCCAAGGUUGUUUACAAUGAUAUGUUAGAUCAAUUUCAACGUCACAGCUUUCUUGAAAAUGUGAGGGAGAAAUCUAAAGAUGAUCAUGGUUUGCUUGAAUUACAAAAAAAACUUCUUUGUGAUAUCCUAAUGGAGAAAAAUCUGAAGUUAAGAAAUAUUAAUGACGGUAUCAAAAUGGUAAAGAGGAAGUGUCGCAUUGAAAAGGUUCUCAUUGUUCUUGAUGAUGUAGAUUGUCAAAAACAAUUAAAAUUCUUAGCUCCUAAUUCUGAAUGUUUUCAUCAAGGAAGCAUAAUCAUCGUGACCACGAGAAAUAAACGUUGCCUAGAUGUACAUAAGUCAUAUUCAUCAUAUGAGGCUAAGGGAUUAGCACACACGCAAGCUAAGGAACUCUUUUGUUGGAAUGCCUUUCAGCAAGACCAUCCCGAGUAUGAGGACCUCUCUAAUUGUAUACUAGAUUAUGCUAAAGGCCUUCCAUUGGCUCUUGUAGUUUUGGGUUCUUUUCUCUAUCAAAGGGAUGUGGAUUACUGGGAAAGCACACUGCAUAAACUAAAAACAAACCCUCUUGAGGAUAUUCAAAAGGUACUCCAGAUAAGUUAUGAUGGACUAGAUAAUAAAUGGAAGGAGUUGUUUCUUGAUAUUGCAUGUUUCUUCAGAAAUGAGGAUAAAAAAGUUGUUACAAGAAUACUAGAAGGUUGCAAAUUCCAUCCUAAGUCUGGACUAACGGUUCUUCAUGAGAGGUGUCUUAUUUCUAUAACAGACGACACCAUAAGGAUGCAUGACUUGUUACAAGAAAUGGGUUGGGCAAUUGUUCGCCAAAAUUUUCCAGAACAUCCUGAAGAAUGGAGCAGAUUGUGGGAAUUACAGGAUAUUAAAAGUGUUUUACCACAAAAUAAGGUAGGAGAAAAAUACAUGAACUUACUUGAGAUCUAAAGACAUAUAAAAGAUUCAACAAGAAUUAUUUUUAUUAUUAUUAUAGUUUUGAGUAUCUUAUCUAUAUAAUUUUAGUGAAUCCCUAUGCAUCUUAUAUUGCUUAUUCUCAAUGCUUGUUUUCAGGGGACAAAAAACAUAGAGGGGAUAUCCAUAAAUCGGUCUUGGGAUAGUAAAAAACGUAUACAACUUACUGCUGAAGCUUUCAGAAAGAUGAAUCGACUUAGAUUGCUCAAAGUUAAAGGCGAUAUGGUGCAGCUUUCCUAAGACUUUGAAUUGCCUUGUCAUGAUUUAGUAUAUUUUCAUUGGGAUAACUACCCUUUGGAAUAUUUGCCAUCAAAUUUUCAUGUAGAAAAUCCUGUUGAACUUAACCUCUGGUACAGCAACAUAGAACAUCUUUGGGAAGGAAACAUGGUAUUGCUAUUAUUUAGUUAUAUUUUUGCUCUAGACUAAUUUUAAAGUCUUUUGAAGUUUACUUAUUGAAACGAAUUUUCUUCUGUUACAGCCUGCUAAAAAGUUAAAAGUCACUGAUCUUAGUUAUUCCAGGCAUCUGGUUGACAUUUCAAACAUCUCAAGUAUGCAAAAUUUGGAGACUCUAAUUCUAAAAGGUUGUACAAGGUUACUUAAGUGUUUCACCCAUGCUUAAUGUUAUUAUUAGUCAUGAACUAACUGUUUUCUUGAAUAUAAUAGGAUGCAAGAGACUUGAGAGUCUUCCAAGGAACUUUCAUAAGCUGGAAUGCCUUCAAACACUCUCUUGUGAUGGCUGUUCAAACUUAAAAGUUUUCCGAAGAUCAAGGAAGAAAUGAGAAGUCUAAGAAAGCUUAAUUUAAGUCAUACAAGUAUAAUGGAAUUAACAUCAUCAAUUAGGCAUCUAAAUGGGCUUGAAGAGUUGGACUUAAGUAAUUGCAAAAACCUUUUGAGUCUUCCGGACAGUAUUGGUAGUUUGAACUCUCUUCAAACUCUCGAUCUAGUUGAGUGUUCAAAACUAGUGGGUUUUACAAAUAUCAAUAUUGGAAGUCUAAAAGCUCUUGAAUAUUUGGAUUUGUCAUGGUGUGAGAACCUUGAGAGUCUUCCAAAUAGUAUUGGUAGUUUGAGCUCUCUUCAAACUCUUUUAUUGAUAGGGUGUUCAAAAUUGAAGGGCUUUCCAGAUAUCAAUUUUGGAAGUCUAAAAGCUCUUGAAUUGUUAGAUUUCUCACACUGCAGAAACCUUGAGAGUCUUCCUGUGAGCAUUUACAAUUUGAGCUCUCUCAAAACUUUGGGGAUUACAAAUUGUCCAAAACUCGAGGAAAUGUUAGAGAUUAAAUUAGGGGUUGAUUGGCCAUUUUCACCUCUAACCUGUCACAUUUCAAAUUCAGCAAUAACCUGGUAUGAUGACUGGCAUGACUGCUUUUCCUCAUUAGAAGCAUUAAACCCACAGUGCCCCCUGUCAUCACUGGUAGAAUUAUCUGUAAGAAAGUUUUAUGGCAUGGAAGAAGACAUCCUCAGUGGCAGUUUCCACCUAUCCUCAUUGCAAAUAUUAUCUCUAGGGAACUUCCCUAGCGUGGCAGAAGGAAUCCUCGAUAAGAUUUUCCAUCUAUCCUCGUUGGUAAAAUUAUCUCUUACUAAAUGCAAGCCAACGGAAGAAGGAAUCCCUGGUGAUAUUUGGAACCUAUCUCCACUGCAACAAUUAUCUCUACGUGACUGCAAUCUAAUGGAAGGAAAGAUCCUCAAUCAUAUUUGCCAUCUAACAUCCUUGGAAGAAUUAUAUCUGGGUUGGAACCAUUUUAGUAGCAUACCUGCUGGCAUCAGUCGACUUUCUAAUCUAAAGGCCCUUGACUUGAGUCAUUGCAAGAACCUUCAACAAAUUCCAGAGCUUCCAUCAAGUCUACGAUUUUUAGAUGCGCACUGUUCGGAUGGUAUUUCAUCAAGCCCCUCGCUUCUACCUAUUCAUUCUAUGGUCAAUUGCUUCAAAUCAGAAAUUGAGGUAUGAUUCUCAUGCCACGUUCCUCUUUCUUUUGUACCCAUUGAAUUUACAUGGUGCUUUUGUGCAGGACCGCAAGGUUAUUAAUCAUUAUUCUUACUUCUGGGGCAAUGGAAUUGGUAUUGUUAUUCCUAGAAGUAGUGGAAUUCUAGAGUGGAUAACAUAUCGGAAUAUGGGAAGGAAUGAAGUAACAGUAGAGCUCCCUCCGAAUUGGUAUAAAAAUGAUGACUUGUGGGGAUUUGCUUUAUGCUGUGUUUAUGUUGCACCUGCCUAUGAAUCUCAGUAUGAAUUAGGUCAUAUAUCUAAGGAUGACGCUGAACUUGAAGAUGAAGGACCAGGGUUCUGUUGUGAUUUGAGUAUCGAAGGAAAUAAUCAAUCAGGAGACGUGGGUUUUUUCCUUCUUUAUUCUUGCUGUGUUAAAUAUGAUGUGUCAGAUAUGCAGUGGGUGAUAUGUUAUCCCAAGUUAGCUAUUGAGGAAAGUUAUCACACCAAUCAAUGGACACACUUCAAGGCUUCAUUUGGUGGUGCCCAAGUGGAAGAGUGCGGAAUCCGUCUUGUAUACACAGAAGAUUAUGAACAGAAGCAUCCAGCAAUGGCACAAGGCAGUACUUCUCAUGGGAAUUUUGGUGAGCAUGGAUCGGUAAGAGAAGAUACUGAUAGUAAGCUCACAAUAAAAGGAAUCCCACAGAACAGAGCCCAAGAGAGGAGUCACACCAUAAAAGAUCCAUAGAAACCCAAGACUGAUCCCAAGUAUUAGGCUCAACCACACUUGCAUCACUAAUGCUAUCUUUACUGGUAAUUCAUCUUCCUUUCUCUUUCUAAUUCAAAGGUCAGAAUUUUUUUUUAUCGUGUUUCUCCUUUUUAUUUGUCUUUUUCCCCAAGACAAACAAAACUUUGAGGCUAUCACCCAUGGGCGCAAACUUCAAUGGUACACCUCCCAAGUUUGUUUUUCUCUCUCUCCAACCGUCUUUCCCUAGAUUUUUCUGCAUUUUCUUCAAACCCAUAUUUCCAUAUGAAAUUCAAUUACAUUCGAGCAUUUCAAUCUCUGUAGCUACUGUCUGAAUCAUUUAUAGGGUUUCUUUUUUCUGGAAGUUUGUAAUGUUAUUGAUUUAAGACUUCAUGUUUGGGGAUGUUUUGGGUGGCUUGUUCACUGGUAUUAAUUGUGAUAAUUGCAGCUCUGGUGCUUUCAAUGACUUUGACAAUAGUCGAAACUAUGUUGAAUGCUUGUACCAAGGGAAUGGACUUCAGUUGCUCUAGGGUUAGUGCUAUAACAUCAGUAUUCACUCUUCAAGAAUGUAUAUAGUUGUUGUUUUGGAAUUUUGAAAUUACUUAGCAUCAGACAAUUUCUAACUCGGGAUUUGGAUUGGGAACCAUAAGUUAUCAUUAGAGAGUGUAUGAGAAGGAAUUUUAGAGUGAGAUGGGUGAUGCAUGUUGAGGGAUGAAAGAGGGAUGUAUCUCACCCUAGAGUUCUUUGGAAUAAUUAUAGGAUUUUGUAAGUAACUUUGGACUUACUUGCAAUGUUCUGGAUUUGUGAAUAAUUUAUAGAAUGCAUUGGGUUUUUUUUUUUUGUUUUUUUUUUUGGUCCAUAAGAAACUAAAAGAACUUUGAGAGUGAAUAAUGUAUGACUGUACUCUUCUCUAUCUCUCUGGUCAUAGCACACGUAUGAUUUGGUACUUUUUUGCAGGCUUCAACAGCAGCAAAGCAUCUGGUGGCUUGCAGUACUAAUCUUACAUUAUAUUCUCUGUUUUGCAAUCAUUUGGUACUUUUUGUCCCAACCAAGGAUAGCUCUGUGCAACAGUCUCGACUGUGGAACAAGUAAAACAAAUGGUACCUGCUGAAGCUGAGAGGGCAGAUAAUAAAUUGGUGCGGAAGGUGGUCAACCAAAAGAAUCAGACAGCAAAAACUAAAAAAGCCGAUGAAGCCUGCUACUGAAGCAGUCUCAGCACCUGUUUCUAGGAGGGGUGAGAUUGAAGUGACUGAAGAAAAGGAGCGUGAGCAAACAAAGAAGGAAGAGGAGUUGGCCAGGAAGGUAGAGGAAUUGAGAAGUGAAGAGGAAGCAGCCAUGUUGAAGGAGAAAAGUCUGUUGGAGGAGAAAGCCAACGUUAAGAAGGCAUUGGAAAGGAAACAAGGAACUGCAGAAAAGGCCAAUUUCUCUGUGAGUGCUGCCACCUUUUCGUGAUACAGCCAUAAUAAUGGAUGUUAAAAGCAGUCUAACUCUACAUGGCGUUUAUUUUCCCCAGCCAUAGAUUGGAAUCUGCCAGUCUGACUCUCAUAAGAAAGAAAAUUUUCCAUCGAUCCUCGUAUGGAUUAUUGGAGAAGAUUUUAACAUGGAGUUCACAAGAGAGUUUCUAACACCCACUUAAAAGGACAUUUUAGAAAACUUAUUGAAAAAUAACAUGAGAGUACAUAAAUUUUUAGAUAUUUUUAAAAAUAUUUGAAAAUUUAAAUUAACUAAAAGUAUUUGAAAAAUAUUUGAUUGAAUUAACAAAUAUCAAGUAUUUGCAUAUGAAAAAAUAAUAAACAUUGUGAAGAAUUUUUUUAUUAAUUAGUGCAUAAUAAUUUUAUUUUCCUUUUAAUCACAAAUUAAUCUAUGGCAAAAUCUCAUAUUUGUUGUAGGGACAAUGUUGUCUUACAUUUUUCUUUCAUGAUGGACUCAAAUUUUAAUUUAAAUGUAGUAUAAAUAUAUAAUUAGAUUGAAAUUUCGUCCACUAAGAUUGAUUGGGUAUGAAUUUGAACCCUCGUUCGGGUCAUACUUCCAUCCAAUCCAAGCUUGUGGUUGGGCUUGAAUUUCUUGGCCCAACCAGUAAUGUCAUUGACCAAUAGCCCUUAGUUUGGGCUGGGCUUGAUGGUCCUCAGGCUAUGCAGACUUAAUACUCAUUGGGUUUGGGAUUCCAUGUAGUUGUAAUUAGAUUCUAUGUUUCCUAAUAUUAACACUAAAUUAGGUUUAAUUUAUAAUUAAAUAUAAUUAGAAGAGGAAAAUGAAAUAUCAUAUCCUUGCAAUGAGUUAUGUGGAUAUUUCAUUUAAAAAGUCUAAUGUGAAAGGUUGUUAUGGGUAGUCGUUUUUUGAUGCAAAUUUUCUAUGGAGUCCUAAUCUUAGAAGGCAAUAGAAAAUUCACAACCAAGAUUUCUUAAAAAUAACUACAUUAAAGUGUAAACAAAAUAUCAAACUAGAAUUUCUUAGAAAUAUCAAACUAGAAAGUGAAAUAUAAUACAAUUCAAGUAUGAAAAUGAAGGACAAAAGAAUAGACCAAAUUUGAAAGACCGUUCAAAGACUCGUUUCUUGUUACAAUCCAAUCAUGACUUCCACUAGUAGAGAUCCUCUUCUUCUUCUUCUUCUUCUAAUUCCAAAUUGAGGGACCAUGCGUUCUUGAGUACCCUCAAAAGCUUUUUUGAUCAUUUAUACUGUAUAACCUUACUUGUAAUAACUGUAUAAGAUAUUUGUGCUAAUUGAUAAGAUAUUUGUGCUAAUUGUAUAAAACAUGUCCUUAUACAUCUUGAAUUUAUAAAUUUAUGAAUUUAUGAAUAACCCAAUAAUCAAUGACUUCUUAAUAAAAUUUUUUUAAUUUUGUUGCCUUAAAAGUCAUGUCCCUCCUUUACAAAGCUUCUUAGAAAUUUCAUAUAUUUUUUUUUGUCAUCAUCUAUAUUUCAUAUUUCUUUUUCGUCUUCAAUAUUUGUGUAUAUAUCUAAAAUAAAACCUAUAAGAAAAUGAAAAAUUUACACUUAAAAAGUGUUUAUUUGAAAUUUAGGCAAUGAACUUAAAGGAGUUUGGAAUUACUCCUCGAAGUUGAUAUGUUUGUUUUAAAAUCAAAGUGGAUUUCAAUUUUCUUUAAAUCCACGUUAUGAUAUUACGGUAAUAUGUAGUGUCUUUAAAACCAUGGCUUCCUCUAGCAAUUCUAAGAGACCCUUUUACUCUUCUUCUUCUUCUAAUUCUAAAUGGAGGUACGAUGUGUUCUUGAGUUUCAGAGGCGAGGAUACCCGCAACAACUUUACUAGUCAUCUCUACAAGGCUUUGGAUCAUGCCAACAUUGAAACCUUCAAAGAUGAUAAAGAACUUCGAAGGGGAGACGAGAUUGCACCCGAGCUCCUAAAAGCUAUUGAAGGAUCAAGGAUUGCCCUUAUUAUCUUCUCGAAAACCUAUGCUCAUUCCAAGUGGUGCUUGGAUGAACUCGUCAAGAUCAUGGAGUGCAAGGAAGAAAAGGGACAAAAGGUUUUUCCUAUUUUCUAUCAUGUAGAGCCGUCUGAAGUCAGGAAACAGACUGGGAUUUAUGGAGAAGCAUUUAACAAUCACGAGAGCAAUGCAGACGAGGAGAAGAAGAAGAAGAUAGAGAAGUGGAGGACUGCCUUAUGGAAAGCCGGUAAUUUGAGUGGAUUUCCUCUGCAGGAUAGGUAAUCCCUACAUCGCUUUUUCCAUUUCCCAUUUUCUGUCAGUUUAUUUUCAUUCUUCUUAAUAAAUAAAAUAUUUAUGAUUACAUAUAUCAAUCAAAAUCCAUUUUUAAGUAGUAGACAUUGAUUAAUAUGUUUGAUUUCUUGGAAAGUAAUAAGAAGAGUUAAAAAAAAAUGAUUUUCUUAUAUUUAAUUUAUUAUUAAAAAUAUGAAAGAAAAUAAAAUAUAAUUUAAAUACAUUGGAAAACUAUAAUAGGAAUAAUAUUAGAUAAUGUAUGAUAGCUGUUGUGGGCUCAUUCAGUCACAGCAGGUGAUAACAGUCAAUAAAAUAAAAUAAUUAUCCCAAAUGCCAAGUUUUGAAUUGUUAAAAAUUCUUAAGAUUCCAAAAUGUUCUUAGUUUCUAAUCAAUCCAUUUCAGCCAUAAUUUCUAUCAAUUUAAAAAGAUGGUAGUUUGUCAAAUAAAUUGUUAAAAUUGCUUAUUUAUAUGCUUUGUAAAUUUGGAGGUAAUCUAGGAUGAUUAUUUAGAAAAUUGUAAUACUGCCUUAAAUUUUUCUAGACCCCUCUUAUGGGACAAAAAACUUAGUUAUUAAACCCUUUACCUUUUUCAAUUUUUGAGGAAUUUUCUAUUACUAAAAUAAUUUUCUCAUAUUCUCUAUGAACUACAUGAGUUUACAUUUCUUCUUUCCUUAAUAUUGUUUCUUCCUUUAUAUUUGCAAGUUGAUAAUCAAAUUUAUUUGCCUUUUAAUCUAUUGUUUGUAUCUCGUUUUAUUCUAAUUUUCCAUGACAUCAAGAUAAUUAAUCUCAUCUUAAGACCUUGUCUUUCACAUUGAAUCAUCUAAUGCUAAAAUUAUUCUCUUGCUAUUCUACUUUGUGUACUCAUGGGAUUGAUAUAUUGCAAUCGAAAUUGCAUUUUUUUUUCUCUUUUUCUCUAGUAUGUUCUACAUUCCUCUAUGCCUCAAUUACAAAUAAAAGCAAGUAACCUUAGAGCUUGUUUGACAGUAUUUUUGAAAAUAAUGUUCAAAAAAUAGUUUUCCCCUAGCCAAUUUUGAAAAUAAUGAACAAAAUUUUACUUGAAAAUUCAAAUAUGAAAAAUGUCUUUCUCGACUUAUUAACUAUGAAGGUACUAUAAAUUUAUGUACAAUUUAACAAUUCUCUAAUUAUUAUCUACAUUUUCAAUUUUUGAUCACAAUACUCUAUAAGAAAAUACCUUAAAACAUCUCAAAUGUGCUCUUAAAGAUGAACUUGUUUACCGAACAAAUUUUUGAAAAUAAUUUUUAGUAAAAAUGAAAAUUAAAUAUAUAUUUAAGUUAUAAAACUAUUUUAUAUUCUAAAGAAAAAAAUCUAUUUUCAAAAACAAUAUCUAUACAAGCAUUUUUCUUUUAAGUAUCAUUUUAAAAUCUUUUUCCAUGACUCUUAUUAUUGCUAGGCUUUUGACCAACAAACAAACAUGUGUCACUUUCCUUGUCAUUCUAAUUUAUAUUUGGGAAAAAAAUGGGGAUUUCAUCAAAAUAUGAAACUUAUGUAGCAAUUAUUAGCAACCUAAAUAUAAAUAGAACUAAAGUGAAAAUUUACUUGUUUACAAAAUAAAUAGUUGAAAGUCUUAUAAGCAUAGAGGAUGGUCAUAAGUCAUGGUGUAAUUAAUAAAAGCAUUGCUAGGUUAUGGAACUUGGGUGACAAAUUGGUAGAUUUCUAGCCAAACUAGUACUGGUCUCUAUAAUAAAAUCUCUUAUCAUAAAGGAUAAUGAUACUUUAGAAAGGUCAACUUCAAUUUGGACCUUUAGAAGCAAUUGAGAUAUUUUCAUUAUUUUAUUGAACAUAUACUUGACAUAACAUAAUGAAAUUUUAUUUAAACAUGCGACUCAACACAUUUUUAAUUUACAUUCUAUUUGACCUUAAUUUAGUUGCAUUGAAUGAAACAAAACACCAUUCUAUUAUUUCCAUUUACUUCAUCUUUGUUUUCUUUGGCAAUUCAUUCUAACUCACUGCAUGUUUUAUUAUACUUUAUAAUGGACAGCCCUGAGUCAGAGUUUAUUGAAGAAAUCAUUGGUGAGAUUCGAAGAUUAAUUCCUAAGUUGGUACAUGUUGGUGAGAACAUAGUUGGAAUGGAUGAAAAUUCGAAAGAAGUGAAGUUAUUGAUAGACUCCCAAUCAAAUAAAGUGAGUAUGGUUGGGAUUUAUGGGACUGGUGGGAUUGGUAAAACUACCAUCGCCAAGGUUGUUUACAAUGGUCUGUUAGAUCAAUUUAAGCGUCACAGCUUUCUUGAAAAUGUGAGAGAGAAAUCUAAAGAUGAUCCUGGUUUGCUUGAAUUACAAAAAAAACUUCUUUAUGAUAUCCUCAUGGAGAAAGAUUCGAAGAUAAGUAAUAUUGGUGAAGGAAUAAAAGAGAUAAAGAGUAAGUGUUGCUUUGAAAAGGUUCUUAUUAUUCUUGAUGAUGUAGAUUGUCUAAGACAGUUAGAAUUCUUAGCUCCUAAUUCUGAAUGUUUUCAUCGAGGAAGCAUAAUCAUCGUGACCACAAGAAAUAAACGUUGCCUAGAUGUACAUAAGUCAUAUUCAUCAUAUGAGGCUAAGGGAUUAGCACAUGAGCAAGCUAAGGAGCUCUUUUGUUGGAAUGCCUUUAAGCAACACCAUCCAAAAGACAAUUAUGUGGACCUCUCUAAUCGUAUACUGGAUUAUGCUAAAGGCCUUCCAUUGGCUCUUGUAGUUUUGGGUUCUUUUCUUUAUAAAAGGGGUGUGGAUGAAUGGGAAAGCACAUUGCAUAAACUAAAAACAACCCCUUUCAAGGAUAUUCAAAAUGUGCUCCAGAUAAGUUAUGAUGGACUAGAUGAUAUAUGCAAGAAGUUGUUCCUUGAUAUUGCGUGCUUCUUCAAAGAUCACAAUAAAGAAUUUGUUACAAGUAUACUAGAAGGUUGUGAUCUCCAUCCCAAGAUUGGACUAAAAGUUCUUGAUGAGAGGUGUCUCAUUUCUAUAUUGGGUGGCACUAUAAGGAUGCAUGACUUGUUACAAGAAAUGGGUUGGGCAACAGAUUGUGGGAAUAUGAGGAUAUUAAAAGUGUCUUUACAAAAAAUAUGGUAAGAGAAAAAUAUAUGAAUAUACUUGAGAUCUAGAUCUAAAGACAAAAGAUUCAACAGUCUUUAUUUUUAUUAUUAUUAUAGUUUGAGUACCUUAUCUAUAUAAUUUUAAUGAAUCCCUAUGCAUCUUAUACUGCUUAUUCUCAAUGCGUGUUUUCAGGGGACAAAAAACAUUGAGGGGAUAUUCAUAAAUUGUACUAAAGCAAAACCUAUACAAUUUACUGCUGAAGCUUUCAAAAAGAUGAAUCGACUUAGAUUACUCAAAGUUGAAGAGGAUAUGGUGCAGCUUUCCCAAGACUUUGAAUUGUCUUGUCAUGAUUUAGUAUAUUUUCAUUGGGUUGCAUACCCUUUAGAAUCUUUGCCAUCAAAUUUUCAUGCUGACAGUCUCGUUGAACUCAACCUCCAGUACAGCAACAUAAAACAUCUUUGGGAAGGAAACAUGGUAUUGCUAUUAUUUAGUUAUACUUUUGCUCUAGACUAAUUUUAAGGUCUUUUGAAGUUUACUUAUUGAAACAAACUAUCUUCUGUUACAGCCUGCUAAAAAGUUAAAAGUCAUUAAUCUUCGGCAUUCCAAGCAUCUGGUUGAUAUUUCAAGCAUCUCAAGUGCGCCAAAUUUGGAGAUUUUAAUUCUAGAAGGUUGUACAAGGUUACUCAAGUGUUUCACCCAUGCCUAAUGUUACUAUUAGUCAUUAACUAACUGUUUUCUUGGAUAUAAUAGGGUGCAUAAGACUUGAGAGUCUUCCAAGGAACCUUCAUACAUUGUGAAGAAUUUCUGAACUCCUUUAUUGAUAUUUUAUCGGUACACACCAUACACAUAUAUAUACACAUAUAUAUACACAAAUGACUGAAUAAGAAAGAAUCAAUCUAGCUUAAUUCUCUCCUAAAAUUAGGAAACUAAAUCAUAAGGAAAUAUCCUAAAUGAUCUCUCAUUUUUUAUUCCUAAAUUAAAGUCCUAACUUUGGCAUUAUUUCAACACUCCCCCUCAAGCUGGAGAAUAUAUAUCAUAUAAUCCCAGCUUGCAAGUUAAGUCUUCGAAGUUAGGCCUAGGUAAAGCUUUGGUGAGGAUGUCUGCGGUUUGGUGCUUGGUAGGAACAUAGUUCAAUUUGACCGUCUCACUAGUCACCUUCUCUGUGAUAAAGUGUCUGUCAAUCUCAACAUGCUUGGUCCUGUCAUGAUGCACGGGGUUCUUUGCUAUGCUUAUAGCUGCCUGAUUAUCACACAUCAUCUGAAUUGGAGAUGAACUCGUUUGUCCCAGUUCACUAAGAACCCUUUUUAUCCAAAUCCCUUCACAGAUUCCCUGUGCAAGAGCUCUGUACUCAGCUUCUGCACUACUUCUGGCUACAACUGAUUGCUUCUUACUCCUCCAGGUAACAAGAUUUCCCCAGACAAAAGAACAAUAUCCGGAAGUGGACCGCCUGUCAAUGAUGUUUCCUGCCCAAUCCGCAUCUGAGUAUACUUCAGUGUCACGGUUCUCUGUCUUUCUGAAGAAUAGGCCUUUCCCUGGUGUCAUUUUUAAAUAUCUAAGAAUCCUGUAGACUGCUUCCAUGUGUUCCUCAGUGGGGCUGUGCAUGAAUUGACUUACAACACUCACUGCAAAGCCAAUAUCUGGCCGAGUGUGUGAGAGAUAAAUCAAGCGCCCGACAAGCCGCUGAUAUCUCCCCCUGUCUACUGGUGUACUUUCUUUCUCGAUACCAAGUUUCUUCUGACUAUCCAUAGGAGUAUCAAUUGGUUUGCAUCCAAGCAUACCGGUCUCCUUAAGAAGAUCGAGUAUGUAUUUUCUUUGAGAGACUACGAUUCCCUUCCUUGAUCUAGCCACUUCCAUACCAAGGAAAUAUUUCAAAUUUCCAAGGUCUUUAACUUCAAACUCUUCUGACAAAUACUUCUUCAAAUUCUGUAACUCCCCCAUAUCAUUCCCAGAUAGAAUAAUAUCAUCGACAUAGACUAUCAAUAUGGCCAAUUUCCCGGCAUGAGACUUCUUGACAAAUAGAGUAUGAUCAGCCUGACCUUGUUUGUAGCCCAGCUUCAGGACUGCUUUUGUGAAUCUAUCAAACCAGGCUCGAGGAGAUUGUUUAAGGCCGUACAAGGAUUUUUGGAGUUUGCAAACCUGAUUCUUUGCCAUACUUUCUUCGAAACCAGGUGGUAUUUCCAUGUAGACUUCCUCUUCUAGGUCCCCAUUUAGAAACGCAUUUUUUAUGUCCAGUUGUUGCAAGCACCAAUCUUGAUUGACAGCCAAUGAGAGAAGGAUCCUGAUAGUGUUCAGUUUUGCAACAGGAGCAAAAGUUUCCUGAUAGUCUAUCCCAUAGGAUUGUGUAAACCCUCUAGCUACCAAACGAGCCUUGAAUCUUUCGAAUGAUCCAUCUGCUUUGUAUUUUAUGGUGAAAAUCCACUUGCACCCCACAGGCCUCUUCCCAACCGGCAAAUCUGUGAUAGUCCACGUCCCAUUCUUCUCAAGUGCAUCAAUCUCAUCUUGUACUGCCUUCUUCCAUUCUGAAAUUUUUAAUGCCUCUUGUAUUGUGUUGGGAACCUGAGUAUCAUCAAGAGAAGUAGCAAAUGCUCUGUAAGAUGGUGAUAAUCCUUCAUACGUAACAUAAUUCCCAAUUGGAUGAUCUGUACAUCUCCUAACACCCUUCCUCAAUGCAAUUGGCAAAGUAGAAUCAUCAAUGCUGGGAAUUAACACCUCUCCAUCCCUAUCCUCACCUAUGUUCUCUUCAGGAAGACUUGAAUUGGAGUCAAUAUAUUGGCCACAUGUUGACUGUGAUCCGUGCUCUAAUUCCUGUCUUUUCCUCCUCCUGAUGUAAACUUGUAAGUUCUCAUUAGCAAGUUGUGGGCUAUAGGUUGAAUAGGCAUGGGAGACUGGAUGGUCACGGGAGAAGGAACAUUUGUGUGCUGGGCUGGCUGAACUGAUGGCGGCAUGGGUGUGGACAACUCAGUGGGCGUGAAUUGGGAAGGAUUUGGUGACUCUGAGUGAAAAGAAGGUACACCCUCAAGAAAAGACUCCCAAACUUGAUGUUCAUUCAUGCUCUCCCCCUGAACAUGAGAUUUGGGAUAGAAGAAGACAUGUUCAAAGAAAGAGACGUCCAUGGUGGUGUAAAAUCUUUUGUUGGUUGGAGAAUAGCAUUUGUACCCUUUUUUGGUUGGAGAAUACCCUAGAAAAAUGCACUUAUUUGCUCGAGGAGCAAAUUUGCUACAAUUUUGAGGAUACACAUGAACGAAUGCUGUGCAACCAAAUACUUUGAGUGGUAAAUCAGAAGAGGCGGCAUGGGUGUGAGGAAACUGUUUUAAGAAAAGUUGACGUGGGGAUUGAAAGGUAAGCACUCUGGAUGGCAUACGGUUAAUCAAAUAGGUAGCUGUGAGAAUAGCUUCCCCCCAGAAAUAGUUUGGAACCUUAGAGGAAAACAUAAGGCACCGGGCAACCUCCAAGAGAUGUCUAUUCUUGUGUUCAGCCACCCCAUUUUGUUGUGGGGUGUCAACGCAAGAACUUAUGUGGAUAAUGCCAUGAUUUUGAAGAUAAGUACUGAGACUACUAGUAAAGUAUUCCUUUGCAUUAUCUGACUUGAGGACUUGUAUUUUGGAAUUGAAUUGAUUUUGAACCAUAAGAUUGAAGGUUUGAAAAAUGUGCCCGACCUCUGACUUUUCUUUCAUAAGGAAAACCCAUGUUACCCGAGUAUGAUCAUCAACGAAUGUCACAAACCAUCGAGUGCCAGAAAUAUUUUUUAUCCGGGAGGGACCCCACACAUCACUAUGUACUAGAGAGAAAACAGUCGAAGGUUUGUAUGGGAUUUGAGGAUAUACUGUUCGAGUAUGCUUUGCAAACUGACAAAUUUCACAGUGAUAAGAUGCUGGAUUUUUAUUGAUAAAUAAUUUGGGAAACAAUUUCGCAAGGUAAACAAAGCUAGGAUGACCAAGGCGAUAGUGUAACAUUAUAAUCUUACUAUCUUUAUUGACCUUAGAAUUUGACACAGAAUUGAAAGACUCUGACAUACUCUGAGACUGUACGCAACUUGCUUGAGAGACUUGGUUUGAGAAUUGGCCACAUGAAAGGAGGUAGAGCCCGGAACACAGUUCAGCACUGCCAAUCAUCUUCCCCGAUUUCAAGUCCUGAAAAACACACAAGUUUGGAUAGAAUUUAGUAACACAUUGGAGAUCACGAGCCAAUUGGCUAAUGGACAAAAGAUUACAAUCCAAGUUUGGAACAUGGAGGACAGAGUCAAGAUAUAAGUCUUUAGUAAGUUUUAUAGAACCUGUCCCGGCAAUUUUUGACUUUGAACCAUCAGCAAUAUGGACGGAUGAAUGACCAUUACUUGGCUUGUAAUUUUGAAGAAUGGCAGCAUCUCCUGUCAUGUGAUCAGAAGCACCUGUGUCUACUAUCCACGGCCUCAUUCCUCCUCGAUUAGCAGUGAAGGCUACACCGGUAGUACUGCCGCUGCCAACUUGGCUUAAUAAUUUCUGUAGCCUCUCCAUCUGCUCUUUGUUGAAUGGACUCGGCUCGGGAACAGAUGUGCUCUCAGAGUUGGCAGCCACGUGUGCUCUGCCAUCUCUGUCAAACCGUGGCUUUGGUUUCCAAUCAGCCGGUUUGCCAUGAAGCUUCCAGCAAGUCUCCUUAUAAUGGCCUGGUUUCUUACAAUAAUCACACCAAGGCCUAUCCCGUUUCUGACGAUCUCCACCACUACUAUUAAAUGACCGAGCAGCAAGGGCAGAGGCAUCCAAUGUUGGGGCAGGUUGCUCUUUUGAUCCCAUCAUCACUUUCUUUCUACUUUCUUCACGCCUAACCUCUGAAAAAGCCUCCCUGAGACUUGGCAGGGGUUUAAUGCCCAUGAUUCGGCCUCUAACAUCAUCCAAUUCCCUGUUUAGUCCUAGGAAGAACUUGAACAGUCUCUUUUGUUCCACAAUUUGCCUGUAUGUUGCUGCAUCAUCCGAACAUUUCCAUGAGUGAGUCUCAAAUAAGUCAAGUUGCUGCCAAUACCUUGUGAGUGUGUUGUAAUACUGAGUAACUGACUGCUCUCCUUGGCGGAAGUCAUGUAGAGCUGAUUCAACCUGAAACAGUUCUGAAGUAUUUUCAGAACUUGAGUAAGUUUCUUUGGCUGCAUCCCAUAUGUCCUUUGCAGUCCCAAACAACAAGAAAUUUUCGCCUAUGUCAUUGUUCAUGGAAUUGAUAAGCCAUGACAUGAUCAUGCUGUUUUCAAUCUUCCACUUCCUAAAACCCGGUUCUGUAGUUUCUGGCAUGACUGCUUCUCCAGUGAGGUACUCAUCCUUUCCUUUACCGCAAAUGAACAGCAACACAGAUUGUGACCACUGUAAAUAGUUAUGGCCAUUUAAUUUGUGUCCUGUGAUGAGAAUAGGAGAGGAAUCAUUGCCACCAAGGUUUGGAAUUUCAGAUCUGCCCCCUGAUUCUGGUGACGUGACGCUGGAUACUUGUGAUGAUGCCAUUCUGUAUUUUGUCAUGGACCGGAAAGGUAGAAGAACACUUCCCAAGGCACGUGCAGGGACUGGAGUUGAGAAAAAAUAGCCGGAGGACGCCGGAAAAUCUUAUCAGAGGGCCCGCGGAAGCAAAAGAACCCCAAAAGAGGCACGUGCAGGGCUCGGAUUGCACAAACAGGUAGGAAGGGUGGCUGGUCGGCGUCAGGCGAGCCUGGAGGAGGAAGCGCGUCGCCGGAAAGUGGCUCACGUGCCCUCACGCGCCGGCGCGUGAGAUGCAGUCGCCGGCCGGAAAAACGCGCGUGGGCGGCGCGUGGAUGGGUUUCUGGUUCCGGUGCUUUGGGACAAAUUGGAGAUCUCCUCCAGGCGCUCCUUGCGGUGUAGAAAAAAAACCGUCGCCGGAAAGUUCGCCGGAAAAUUUUGCCGACGGUGAGUGUUUUCUGACGACGAUUCGACUGAUCGGAAAGCUUUUUCUCCCUUGGCUCUGAGAACAGGGACUGAUGACCGGAAUGAGAGAGAGAGAGAGAGAGAGAGAGAGAGAGAGAGAGAGAGAGAGAGAGAGAGAGAGAGAGAUGAUCGGAUUGAGAUAUGGCCAGAGAGAUUUGGCCGGAAUGAGUGAUGGCCUGAAUAAGAGGUGGCCAGAAGGGAUUAGGGUUUCAGAAAACUGGCUCUGAUACCAUGAAGAAUUUCUGAACUCCUUUAUUGAUAUUUUAUCGGUACACACCAUACACAUAUAUAUACACAAAUGACUGAAUAAGAAAGAAUCAAUCUAGCUUAAUUCUCUCCUAAAAUUAGGAAACUAAAUCAUAAGGAAAUAUCCUAAAUGAUCUCUCCUUUUUUAUUCCUAAAUUAAAGUCCUAACUUUGACAUUAUUUCAACACAUUGGAAUGCCUUCAAACACUCUCUUGUUAUGGUUGUUCGAAGAUGAAGAGUUUUCCGGAAAUCAAGGGUAAUAUGGGAAGUCUAAGAGAACUUGAUUUAAGUGAAACAGAUAUAAUAGAAGUACCAUCAUCAAUCAGGCAUCUACAUGGGCUUAAAACCUUGAAGUUAAGUGAUUGCUUAAACCUUGUGAGUCUUCAGGUCGGUAUUUGUAGUUUGAGCUCUCUUCAAACUCUUUUGAUGGAUGGGAGUUUAGAACUAAAGGCCUUUCUAGAUAUCAAUAUUGGAAGUCUAAAAGCCCUUGAAUGGUUAGAUUUGUCAUAUUGCGAAAACCUUGAGAGUCUUCCGGAUAGUAUUUGUAGUUUGACCUCUCUUCAAACUCUUUUGCUGAAUGGGUGUUCAAAACUGAAAGCCUUUCCAUACAUCAAUAUUGGAAGCCUCAAAGCUCUUGAAUUGUUAGCUUUGUCAUAUUGCGAAAACCUUGAGAGUCUUCCGGACAGUAUUUGUAAUUUGACAUCUCUUCAAACUCUCAUGUUAAAAGAGUGUUCAAAAUUGAAGGGCUUUCCAGAUAUCAAUAUUGGAAGUCUAAAAGCUCUUAAAUUGUUAGAUUUGUCAUAUUGCGAAAACCUGACAGUAUUUGUAGUUUGACCUCUCUUCAAACUCUUUUGCUGAAUGGGUGUUCAAAAUUGAAGGCUUUUCCGGAUAUUAAUAUUGCAAAUCUAAAAGCUCUUGAAUUGUUAGAUUUUUCAUAUUGUGAAAACUUUGGGAGUCUUCCAGAUAGGAUUUGUAGCUUAACCUCUCUUCAAACUCUUUUGUUGAAAAAGUGUUCAAAAUUGAAGGCCUUUCCAGAUAUCAAUAUUGGAAGUCUAAAAGCUCUUAAAUUGUUAGAUUUGUCAUAUUGCGAAAACCUUAAGAGUCUUCCAGACAGUAUUUGUAGUUUGACCUCUCUUCAAACUCUUUUUUUGAAUGGGUGUUCAAAAUUGAAGGCCUUUCCAGAUAUCAAUAUUGGAAGUCUAAAAGCUCUUGAAUUGUUAGAUUUGUCAUAUUGCAAAAACCUUGAGAGUCUUCCGCAUAGUAUUUGUAGUUUGACCUCUCUCCAAACACUUUUGUUGAAUGGGUGUUCAAAACUGAAGGCCUUUCCAGAUAUCAAUAUUGGAAGUCUAAAAGCUCUUAAAUUGUUAGAUUUGUCUUAUUGCAUAUACCUUGAGAGUCUUCCGCACAGUAUUUGUAGUUUGACCUCUCUUCAAACUCUUUUGUUGAAUGGGUGUUCAAAAUUGAAGGCCUUUCCAUGUAUCAAUAUUGGAAGUCUAAAAGCUCUUAAAUUGUUAAAUUUGUCAUAUUGCGAAAACCUUGAGAGUCUUCCGGAUAGUAUUUGUAAUUUGACCUCUCUUCAAACUCUUUUGCUGAAUGGGUGUUCAAAACUGAAGGCCUUUCCAGAUAUCAAUAUUGGAUGUCUAAAAGCCCUUGAAUUGUUAGACUUCUCAUAUUGCAAAAACCUUGAGAGUCUUCCGCACAGUAUUUGUAGUUUGACCUCUCUUCAAACUCUUUUGCUGAAUGGGUGUUCAAAACUAAAGGCUUUUCCAGAUAUCAAUGUUGGAAGUCUAAAAGUUCUAGAAUUGUUAGAUUUGUCAUAUUGCGAAAGCCUUGAGAGUUUUCCGGACAGUAUUUGUAGUUUGACCUCUCUUCAAACUCUUUGGCUGAAUGGGUGUUCAAAACUGAAGGUCUUUCCAGAUGUCAAUAUUGGAAGUCUAAAAGCUCUUGAAUUGUUAGAUUUGUCAUGUUGUAAAAAGCUUGAGAGUCUUCCGAUGAGCAUUUGCAAUUUGAGCUCUCUCAAAACUCUGCGGAUUAAAGAUUGUCCAAAACUCAAGGGAAUAUUAAAGAUGAACCUAGGGGUUGAUUUAUGCUCCUCGAGAUCUUUGAAUCUGACUUGUCACAUUUCAAAUUCAGGAGUAAUCUGGGAUAAUGACUGCUUUUCCUCAUUAAAAGCAUUAAAUCCAUGGUGCCCCCUGUCAUCACUGGUAGAAUUAUCUGUAAGAAACUCUAAUCUCAUGGAACGAGACAUCCUCAGUGCUAGUUUUCGCUUAUCCUCAAUGCAAAUAUUAUCUCUAAGGAACUUCCCUUUGAUGGUAGGAGGAAUCCUUGAUGACAUUUUCCAUCUAUCUUCAUUGGUAGAAUUAUCUCUUAGUGAAUGCAAUCUGAUGGAAGUAGGAACCCUCCAUUAUGUUUGGAACCUAUCUUCACUGCUAAGAUUAUAUCUAAGAAACUGUAAUCUAAUGGAAGGAGAGAUCCCCAAUCAUAUUUGGCACCUAUCAUCAUUG
rnacentral:lncRNA from 1 species